GUUGGACACAUGUACAACCAUAUCUCAUCUUCUUCAGGACUAGUGCCACCGAAAAACGGAUGCACCAUGAUCACCCCAACCACCUUUACACAGGGUAACCCGAUUGACCCGACCCGAAAUGCCAGAGUAUGCGCAAUAUUCCCUCCAGCACUGCCUCCUCCAAUGAAAACUCUCCCAAAAUCAGCGUGAUCAUUCAACCAUGGCUCGGGUCCAUUUCUGCUGGUAUGGGACGCCACCCAGUUGAGUGCAGCCCACGAGUCUUCGUAACAAGCGGGUAUUGGUCGAUCCGGGAAGAGCCCGUAUUCCACGGACACCACUACAGCAUUAGCUUGUGCAGAAACGACGCUACAGAAAUUAUGAUACCGCGGACCAAAGGCUGACCGCCUGCAGAAUCCGCCGCCAUGCACGUAGAAUAAGAGAGGGAGCUUCUUCUGGUUAGGGUUUUGGGCUUCAUACGGAAUGAAGAUACGAGCAGAUACGGGUGGUUCGGACGAAAUAAUAACGUCUUUGGAUCGGACACCGGUGGUGGGGUCAUCGGAGGGUGGGAUCUUUUCGCAGUCGGGUUCGAAUAACUCAACCCGGCCGUCUUUGUAAACCCGGAAGAAUCGGAAUUCUUUUGCAAUUUCCGAGUCGCUUGAUGCCAUGUUUUUAAUUUGAAGCUUCGGUUUGAAAUAUAAUCAUAAAAGAGAAGAAGGGUUCUUUCUGUUUGUGCUGUUUGGUGAAAGAGGGAGAGCCAUCAAACGCUUUAUAAUAUGGGAACGUACGUGGUCACCUAACUUUCACAGCAUCUUCUCGCCCAUAAGUAUCUGUUUCUUUGACAUUUAUUUUUUCUUUUUUUCAUACCUUUUUCUUAUCAGUAAAUAUUUACGAUAUACGAAUAUGACGUUGAUAUUCCAAAUAGUUACAGUUAAUGCAACUUACAGCUGCCCUGUAAAAUGCGGACCCGAUAGAUAAAGGAUUUAAGUGGAUUACACGAAUGCCUUUUUUAGGCCAACCAAACCAACAAAUGAAAGAAACCAGUCACCAACUCUUCUUUUUCCUCUCUUCUGAUCAUCUGUUGGGAGAGAGGAAAACAAAUAAACAAUCUAUUUCUGCACCACUGCAUGCUUGUUAUAAGGAUAAGUUUUGAGCUAUUAUAUCAACUACACAAUAAUACACAAUAAUUAAAUGAUGUUAUGAUAUAUAUUUUUUUAUUUUUAAAAAUUAAUAUGUAAAUAGUAAUUAUAUUAAAUUUAAUUACACAUAUUAUGCAUGUAUUAGUUAGUUUUAUUACCUUUAAUGUAUUCUAAAAUUCUUCCCAACAUUAAUAAAUUAUUCGAAGGAUUAAUGAAUUAGAAGAAUUAGGAUCUAGUAUUGAGCUGAGUUUUUAUUUAAAAAUAGAAUUAAUAGUCAGGAUUAUUUUAAUUUUUUAUUUUUUAUUUCUCUUAUCUAACAAUUUUUACUCUCUUAUUUCUUUUUCCGAUCUCUGUCUUUAUUUUAUUGGAGUUAGAAAAUCUUUCUUUUUUUUUCACACACUAAAAUCACCGGCAAUGAAUCCACCUCAUAACCCGUGGUGGUUUAAACCCCCAUUAGAGACAAUAAUUUCAAAAAAAAUUAAAACAAUUACUUGAGUUACUAAUUAUCCCUAUUAAAUUUUAAAAAAAAUAACCCCAUAAACUUAUAAGCCCAAUUAAUUUAAGGAUAAAGAUCCUCUCAUGAUAUGAUCAUAUCUGAACAUUCAAGAAUCUUUUAACAUUUAUACAUUAUUAUUUAUGUAUGGUCAAAGUUUACUUAAUUAUUAUAUUCUCAUUUAUUUACCACUAAUCAUAUAAAAUAUAUUUGCUCAAAUAAAAGAUCAAAUCAGGAGAAAACCUUAUCCAAAAUUUAAAUUUAACUUUGAAAAAAUAAAAAUCCACACUUUAAUUAAAAAUAAAAGAGACAAUCGCUCAAUGGCGGAUCUAGAAAAAUAAUUUACGGGGGGCUAAAUUAGAUAAUAUUAAAAUAUAAAAAACUAAGAUUUUGAAUAUAUAAAAUAUUUGCUAAUACAUUUAUAAUUAUUCUCUAUGCAUUUUCAUAUUUUAAAAAUGUUAUGCAAUAGACUCAUUAUCAAUAUUAUUAAAUUGAUUGUUUCCUAUAUAAGUAACCAAACUAUCAUUUAUUCUAUCUGAUUCCAAAGAUGAUUCAUUAUGAGUUUCAUUAUUGAAAACAUUCGCUUUACUAUUAUUAUAGAAACUGGAAGAAUUAAUACUAUUUUUUAGAAUAGAAAAUAUUUUGGGUGGUGGGCUAUCAUUAUUUUUAAUUAAGAUAUAGAUUUUUAUAAUUCUUAAAAGUUAAAGUUUAAAUUUUAUGGGGUUUAUAAUUUAUAGUGACUAUUUUAAUAAAUUUAAUGGGGCUAAUUAAAAAGCUAAAAUAUUUUUCUCUUUUAUUUUUAAAAUUUUUUUUUGCCAGUGGGGGCCACAAGCUGCAUCCGCCCCUACAAUCCCUCACAUGGGUGUUUUAUAAGUGAAUUAGAAAUAGCACACCCAAAGCAAAGAUAAAUGGAUGAAAAUACUGCAUACUUUAUUCAUAUUGAAGUUGCCUUUUUUAGGCAUUACAUGAACAAACUUAAGAAAAUAAUAAGAGCCAUUAUCCACCAAAUAUUGCAGCAACUCUCCAGUAAGAAUAACCUAAAGACAAGGUAAACAUAAUUUUGCAAAUAACACUACUAAACUUCCAAAAGACUAGGACCACAAAAAAACACUUUAUUGACACAAUUAAGGAAUUUUCAACAGGUUUUACUAUUAUUUAAUUUAAGCCCAUUAAAUUUAUUAAAAUAACCUUUACAAACUCACUAAUCUAUAAAAUUUUAGUUUUUAUAUUUUAUCAGUAUGUAAUUUAACCUCUGAUAAAUUGUUUUCAUGAAGCCGCCACUAAGUUCAUCACUCUUUCGAACCUUUUAGUCGUCGUAAGGAGCUAGAGUAAGUUUUGCAGAAUUAGGGCAUGCGAGAGCUCAUUGUAAAUGUAGAAAAUUCUUAUCUCCUACACCUUCUUAAUUCUCUUUUAUCAUGAUAAUAUAUGCUUUUAUAUAAAAUUUAUUUACUUCUAAAAAGAAUUUUAAAAAGCGGCUCCACGCAUCAUUAUCAUGAUUCAGUAUAUCUUUAACAAAGCUGAAGGCUUGCAGCUUUCAAACAGAAAUAAUAAUUUUGAUGACGCUAUUUUUCCGGUAUAAAAGGAAAAAGAAAGUAAUCAGUGGUUGCAUAUGUGGAAGGCAUCAACUCACAAUGGACAACAAAUCUAAGUAACCCAAAUCAAUGAGUUUUGAAAUUUACGCCACCAUGUCACUUUUCUAGACUAAAACAUUGCGCUAAUAGAGCAUCAUUCUAUUAAUUAUGUCGUCAUCACUGACAUCAAGUCUAUAUCCAUAUUUGCAGCGGAAGCAGAUCAAGAACAGUCCUCUUAAAAAUAUCUUUAAUUUUAUACAUAUUAAGAAUUUAAGAUAUAUCAAUAAUGUAAUUUAUUAAAAUUAAACAUUUAAAAAUUUUAAUAUUUUAUUUUUAUAUAUAGACCCGACCUCAUAUUUUUUUUCUCUCCUCUUUUUUUUUUUUUAUUUGCCAUUGCACUCUCUUUCUAUCUUCUCUUCUCUUAGCUUUUUAAUCCCUCACUUUGGUUUGAUUUUUUUUCUCAAUCACAAAAAAUUCUUUACUCUCUCAAGAUUUGAUAUGUUGUCAUAUUUUUAUAAUUUUUUGAAUUUUGUUUUCUACAGUUAAUUUUAGUUUUACCCCUCAUAAAUGAAUACACAUGAAUUAGAUUAGUCAGCCAAAAUGUAGAAAGAAUGAAGAACAGGGAAUCAACCUCUUUUUGAAGCCCUGCAACCACCUUUUGAAUUUAAAGGAAUUGUGAGCAGUUGCCUCCUUCGGGAAAAUUUACAGCCCAUAAAAUAUAUAUAUAUAUAUAUAUAUAUAUAUAUAUAUAUAUAUAUAUAUAUAUAUAUAAGUACAACAAUAUACUAAAUCUUUUAUGCUUUCAAACAUUUAGCGAGAUGAAUUCAGAGAGAGAAACGGCUCAUAAAAGAAUAAAACAGAGAAUGAGGGAUUAAAUAUUUUUAAUAUUUAUCUUAAAUAAAUUCUAUCAUCAAUUUAUCUUAAAUAAAUCGAAUAUUAAUUGAGUAUAAAUUAAGAAUAUUUUUUUAAGAGACUUGACUUGCUCCAUCUUUAUUAUAGGACUAGAAAAUAGAACCGCGCUUCAAGCGACUUUGAAAAAAGAAUUUAAUAUUAUUCUUUUUUUUUACUUUACACUUGAUGAAACGGAUAAAAAAUAUGAAUUAAUUUUUUUUAAGAUGAGGCAACCUUAUAAAAAAAAACUAUUAGCAAGCAAUACAAAUAAAGAAACAACGCAAGAUAAAGAAUAAAAUGAGAGAAUAUAUUAUAGAUUGAUUUUAUUCAUUUCAAUUGUGUGUGUACAAAACAAAAAGAUGAGCUCUCCUUUUAUAGUUACAUAAUCACUCCAUGAAAUUAAUGAAAAAUUAUGGAUCAUAAUUCUUUGUGAGAUAGUGGGAGUUAUAGGGAAGCUAAAGGUUGCUAAUGGGAGAUAGUGGGGAGACUAAGAGAUAUAUGUUAUGAACAUCUACAUUUAUUUUAAUAAAUUUAUAACACUUCCCCUUAGAUGUUCAUUACAAAGAAUAUACCUCAUUAAAAUCUUUACAUAAUUGUUAUUGUGUAAUAACAAUCAAAUUAAUUAUGAGAAGAUGAAAAGCCAAAUCUAAAAGAAAAUUUCUCUAUUUAUUAGAUAAUAGAGAAUAUACAAAGAUGAAAAAUGAUGAUGUCACAUCACCUCCUCAAGUUCCAGCUUUAUAUAUAUGUAUAGAUAGAUUGAUAAUCAUUAUUUGAUUUUUUUUCAAAAUUUGUGCGGCUACUUAAAAGGAAAAUAAAGCAACAUAGUUAGUGGAGCAUGAAAACGAAUACCGCUGUCACAUAGACUGCCACGAUUAUGCUGCUAAGUAAAAGUCAAAAUUGUUCUCCUCCCUUCUCCCUCCUCCCUCCUAUAUUUGAAAGCACACAUUUCAUUCUAACGUAGAUAUCUAAGAGAUUGAUUAAAAGUCCAUACCGUAUGUGUUGGAGGAGCACGAUUGCCACCAAUAAUGGAAUAGGUAUGGCCGUAUGGGCACGUUCGGUCAACGUCUUCUCUUCAGUUUUAACAUAGCCAACGUACACAUGUAAAGAUUUGUAAAUAUCAACAGACAUUAAGUGAAUUAUUAUAUUUUCAGUUUUUGAAAAUAAAUAUUUUUCCAACAAAAAUCUAAAAUAUAAGUGUAAAUUAUGAAAUGGGAUGGGUGUAAAAAUUUUGUUAAAAGAAAAUCUCAUUUAAUUGUUUAAUUGACACUACUAGAAAAAUGGUCUUUAUUGACUUUAGAAUAAUGUCAUAAAUUACUUUCAAUGACACUUGUUAAUUGUGUCAAUAAUCUGGGAGUCAGAAAAAUAAUGACACUUGCAAGUAGUGUCAGUAAUUAUUAUUACUACAGUAUCACCGAUAUUAUGACACCAUAGUAUUAGUAGUUAUUGAUAUUUUAUUAGUGUCUAUGAUUACUGUUACAUGGUAUCACUAGUUAAUUUAUUUUAAAAAAAUAAAAAAUUGAAUUGGAUCAUUGCCUAUUGAUUUAUUGGUAAAAUUAAAAGGCACCACACAAUAACAAAAAGAAAUUGAUUUAUAUCACAAAAUCUUUCAUUUCACAUUUAAAUAUUAUUAGUAUAUAUUACAAAUUCAAAAACUUCAAUAACAAAAAUAUGAGAUAUCCUACUCUCAUAGCUAAAUAAUCCAAAUUCAAUACAUAAAAAUUUCUACCAUCCAAUCAAAUGCCUACUACUUGUGGCUAAAUUUAAUAAAUCUAGAAGCUAAAUUGAGAAGGAUGACUGCCUUUCACUCUUUGAAUAUGAGUAGUAUAAUUGUGUUAUCACACCAGCAGCUUCUCCAUUCAAUAGACUGUAUGGGUUAGGAUAUAAGUGAAGUUGAGGAAUAAACACUUCAAAUACAUUGAUCAAAUCUGCAUAUGAAUACAUGGAAAAGAAAAAAAAAUAGCUGCCAAUAUCCAGCCAUUAGAGAAACAACAAUUAACAGAAAUAAAAUUAUUUUGUUCUAAAGAAAAAAAUACUCAUAAGCUAUUUAUAAAUAAAUUCAAUUAUUCUCUUUUGGUAAAGGUUAUAUAUAUAGCAAACUAUAACAGACAAGAAGUUUUUAAUGUAAUAUCUACUUUCAACACAAGUAUGUUACUCUAUCUACAUAUACCAAAUGAAUUUUGUGCAUAGUUAAAAGCUAUCACAAAUGCUCUAUUAUAAAUAAAUCACCACUCAUUUCCUCAAUUUAUUCAUUCUAAAAGCUUAUUUAACAAGGCAAAAAAUAAGUUCUCAAACUGCAGUUUCCUUAAACUGGGCAUAAAAUAACUAUGAAUCUUCAUAUUUAUAUUAGGCAUAAUAAAGUUUGGACAUAAAAUAUUUCAAUAAUUUGAGAGUUCGAUCCAAAAUUAUUACUACUAAAAGAAAUAAUAUUUGCAAACUUAGUUAAGCCUUUAUAAAGUGAGUAUGAGAUUUAUUAUACUACUUAAAUCUAUUCAUAUGAACCAUUAAAGAUUAUCACCCUAAAUUGUAAUUAAGUAUUCAUUAAUUUGGCCUAAUUAUAAAACUUUAAGAAGAUAAAAAAAAGUAGAAUAAAAAUAUAAUCAUUAUAUAUUUCCACUCACAAGUAAUGUUGCUUUAACUUGAUUGACAUCAUAACCCAAAAUCACUUUAAACAUUUUUCCUAAACCUAGAAAGGGAAAAAAAACAAACUUUAAAAUAUAAUUAUUAUAUAUUAAGACAUGCAUAUAUAACAAGACCAUUUACUAGAAUAUUCAUAGAAUAAUCCAUAGUUCUUAAAAUUAAUAUGCUACACUAAGUAUAUAUUUGAUACAGUAAAUUAAUUUUCAAACUAUUACUCAUAUGCUCAUCAUCCAAAAUCAUUUAUUGGAAGCCUUCAAAGUCUUAAACUAGGAUGUCAAACUCAAACCAACACAAAACAAGAAUGUCAAACUCAAAUCAAUCGCAAAUCAUACAAAUCAAUAAUCGGGCUAAUAUUUAAGUUAAAUUAGUUCAAUUAAAAAGAAUAGCUAACAAGCUCCUAGCUUUCUCGAACCACCCGGCUGGUCCUAAAACCAUUCAUUUUUGGGCUCCAAUUACAAUAGUAAUUGGUACUUAAAUACAUAUUUAUAAAUUUUAAGAUACUUAAUACAUUGGAUUGAUAUUUUUCAGUUUUUAACAACACAUAUGAAUGAACAACAUAUUAAAAUUUGAGAUUAUUCUGAUAUUAUUAUGUUGGUGUUUUGUAAGAUCAACAGUUAAUAAAUAGUUAUGUCAAAAGAACUUGCUGCAGAGCAGCAGAGUUCAAAAAAUCAUUAAAAAUAACCUACAAGUUCAAUCAACAUAAACUUUUUCAGAUUUGAAGUAUGCAUAUAGAACUUUAGUUUCUCUGAAUUUCAGCUCAUUCAGACAUGUUUAGACUAUUGUUUUGCACCACCAAACAUGAUACAUGAGUAAUUUAUGAAAGAUUGGACAGCAACCAACCAUUUUGAAAAAUCGAUUAAAAAUCAGUUAUAAACCCAAUUCAUUCCAAAAUUUCCUGAACUGAAACAUACACAUUUGACUUUAAUUAUUUCAAACAUAUGGUAAAGUUUGGACAAAAUAUUUCAAUACUUUGAGAGUUCAUUCCAAAAUCAUUACUUAUAAACAAGUCUUAUGAUUUUGGCCAUGAAUCUUAUAAAAUUUAAGAUACUUAAUACAUUGGAAUGAUAUUUUUCAGUUUUUAACAACACAUAUGAAUGAACAACAUACUAAAAUUUGAGGUUAUUCUGAUAUUAUUAUGCUGGUGUUUUGUAAGAUCAAAAGUUAAUAAAUAAUUAUGUCAAAAGAACUUGCUGCAGAGCAGCAGAGUUUAAAAAAAUCAUUAAAAAUAACUUGCAAGUUCAAUCAACAUAAAAAUUUUCAUAUUUGAAAUAUGCAUAUAGAACUUUAGUUUCUCCGAAUUUCAGCUCAUUCAGAUAUGUUUAGACUAUCGUUUUGUACCACCAAAGAUGAUACAUGAGUAAUUUAUGAAAGAUUGGACAGCAACCAACCAUUUUGAAAAAUCGAUUAAAAAUCAGUUAUAGACCCAAUUCAUCAUUACAAAAUUUCCAGAACUGAAACAUAUACAUUUAACUUUAAUUCUUUCAAAUAUAUGGUAAACACAAUAUUUUUCCAAAGUAGAUAUAAUGAAGGUUAUUUGGUGCCAAUAAAAGAGAAGAAAGUAGCAAAGAAAAAAACACAAUAAAAGCUAAAUCUUUACCUUCUUGUUUCUUCCAAGUAGCCAAAGAAACAAUACCUUCUAGUUUCUUCCAAGUAGCCAAAGAAACAUAGAAGCUCUUCUCCAAAUCACUUAUUUAAACCUAAAAGAACAAUUAAAACAAAAAAAAACUCAAGAUCUAAUGACAAUAAGAGAGACCCGAAAUCAUAAAAUAAGAAAAGAAAUAAGAAGUUAGGAUUUUAAAGGCAAAUGGUGAACCUGUGCCACCGGUUUGACAGGAUCAUGGUUGAGCACUUUUUGACAAUUUUUUUUAACCCAAAAACGCCAAGCUGAUGUUUUCUCAUAUUAAUCAAUACAUUAAUAGAAUCAAAUUGAAGCUGUAAGAACUAAAAACCAGAAAGGGGAACACAAGAGAGAAAUUCUAUGCUGUAUUCUCCUUCUUGAGUUUUGCAAGCUCCUAUCGAACAAGUCCACCCUUCUUGAUCUUUGCAAACAUGACCUUGAACCUAUCAAAAUCAUUCAGUGCCGCUCUCCUUUUUUGGACAAUCAGCUUCUUGCCCCAGGAGCUGUUUUCCCAUUUGUUCUUCACAUCAGCCUUCUCCAUGGCUUCAAUCAAAGACUUCUUCCUGGGAACUCGAUUGAUGUCAAUCUUAAUAUCCGUGAGAGAAAGCCUCUUCAUUUGGCUCCUCACCAUAUCAUGGGCAUCAACAAGAGCCUAUAAAGCAUCACAAAAAUAAUAACAAUUGUAUACAACUAAAAAAUAAACGAAACAGUUCAAAAUUCAAAGAAAUCCAAGCUAAAAUCACUCUGUUUACAAAAGCACAUCAACUUUCUAAUUUGCUAUUUUUGUACAGAAAAAUAAAGAAGGGGUACCCAGUUAUCAUCAACUAAACCAAAAUAUUCAGAAUUCUUGUGACAAUUUUAUAAGAUUCAACUCAAAUAAAGCAUAAGCAUAAAGUGAAUAAAGGUACCCUGUUUUGAUCAAGGACAUCGACGAUGACCACAAGCUUCCCAUAGUCCUUGUCGUAAUUAACGAGAGCAACUCUUCCUAUCUCCACGUACCUCUUGAACGGCUACACUCAAGGUCAUAAACUUUCAAUUAUCAACUACUUGUUGAAAAACAUAAAACUACGACAGAUUCAAGUUAAUUAAUCACUGUGUUGGUUAAUUCGUGAUCUGAGAAGGACCCAUUAGUGGCGAAGAGGUUACCAUUUUCGAAGAUAUUCAAGGCUCUGCCGGAGGAGCAAGGAGAUGAAUGAAUGAGGCAAGAGGCCACUUUUUGACAAUUUGGAUGUUAGGGAGUUUUCAGAUCUGGGGAGCUUAGGAGGGAACAAAUACUUUGGUAGAGGGGGUUGAAAAGUUAUAUUUUGGAUAAGAUCCAUUUGUUGUUUUGUUUUUAUCCACUCAAAAAGCACAACUCUAAAAAAAUUAAAAAUAAUUCGUAGCCUAGUGGUCUUUUGAUUCAAUGUAGAAGCUUUAGGUUUAAGAGGUCUUGGGUUCGAAUUCAGACUAAAACAAAAUUAAAAUGAUAAUUUUUAAUUGCUGAUACCAAAGCGUCAUUGAUCGCUAUUACUAAAGCUAUUGAUACUUCAGUAUUAGUAAUUAGUGAUACAUAUCUGUUAAACGCGGAAACUGAUCCAAAUAUAUGUAUAUACUGAUACUUUUAAAUAAAGUAUCAGAAGACAAGUAUUAGUAAAGACUAUUUUUCUAGUAGUAUGAACUUUCAUUUAAAAUAAGAAAUGAACUAAUUUGUAUUUAAUUAUUUAAGUAAUUUUAACUAAAAAGGGGAGUUUAUUAGGAAUUUUGAGGAGUGUCAAAAGUCUUAAUCUUUUUUUUUUUUUAAUUUGGGAAGGAAAUUUCUGUUGAACAUGUGAAAAGUGAAAACAAUGGGAGACACAAUUGUACUUUUUUAGACAAAAUCUCAUGGUAAGCCACACACCCCGUAGUAAAAUACUAUGUAAUGGGAAAGAAAUGAAUUUAAAUACUUUAUAUAUGUUGCAAACUGGAAUCAGAUAUUGGAAUUUAUAUUUCAGGAUUUCGAUUCAACGACUCUCUAUAACUCUUCAAUAUUGAAUUGUUAAUCAGUUAAUUAUGUUAUAUCAAUACCAAUUCAAUCACAAGUAUGGCGACAUGAAAAGUAAUAAAACAACCACAAUUGACAAUUAAUAUUUGCUUUCAAUACUAUUUCUGAGGGAACCAUUAUUUUGCUUGAUGAAGGAGAUGAAUUUAUUGGUCAACUCCAAAGCAUUUGUACAUGUAGGGUUUCUCAAAUAAAAGACAUGCUUCUCAUCGAGAUGCUCAACGAGCUCCACUCUCCUUUUCCAUUCACUCUUCAACUCCUCGUAGUAAUUUUUCCCAGCGGGACACAAGUAGUCUCUCUCAGCCACAAAUAUCAAAACCCUCUCACACCCAAACCUAGCCAGAUCCUCUGCGGGCGGUUUCAUCCUAGGAUCCUGCGGCCCAUCAUUACUUACACACAUGUACAACCACAUCUCAUCGUCCUCCGUACGGCCAAAAAAUGGGUGUACCAUCGUCACCCCAACCAAGUUCACACCGGGUAGCCCGAUUGAUCCGACCCGGAACGCCAGAGUGUGUGCGAUGUUCCCUCCUGCACUGUCCCCACCAAUGAAAAAAUAAGUUCUUAUAUUUUCUUCACCAAAAUUAUUUUAAAUGUGUAUGUUAAAUCUAAAAUUAAAUAAAAUUAUUUGAGGAAAAUCAAAUUCGUCUAAGUAAACUAGAUUUACCUCCAAUAGAUAUUAAGUCUGGCUAUGCGGGGGAAGUAGAAAAUCCGCUACUUUAUAAAUAUAAUUCAACACCACAUUGUAGUUUAAAUACUGUGAUUUAGCCUAUGUACGGAGAUGGUUGUUUUUUAUCAAUUUGAAUUCGGAUCUUCUUCUAAUCUCAUUUUUUUCUUAAAUUUUUUGAAAUUCUUGAGACAAGUGAAAAUCGUUUUAGAAAAUCUAUUUCUUAAAUUAGAAAAGUAAAAUAGCAAAUUUCCAUAAACAAACCCAAGUCUUCUCUUUCAUUCACUAUUAUUAUUAUUUUCUUUUGGUAAUUUUUAGGGACAUCCCCUAAGGUUUUGCAUAUUAACACUCAAAUAAAAUGUAUUGAUUUAAUUACAGAUACUUCCCUCCUCGUUAAUAUAAAAUAUGUAUGGCGUUAGUAUAAAAGGAUAAACAUGUAAAUACAUACUUAAAUUUAAAAAAUAAUUUAAAGUGAAGCUCGAUGUUGAGAAAUCUUAAAUGUUACACCUUAUUAACCAUAUCUUGAAAAUAACCAGCAGACAAAAGAGAGCCACCAAUGCACUUAUCUUUCUCUUUCACAUAAGCAAAAACUCAAUACCAUAAGCAAAAGCCAAACAUCCACUUAUCUUUCUAUUUCACAGAAGCAAAAACCCAAUACCAUUCCCGAUCUUUUUUUUCUAAAGUUGUGAAGAAAUCAAGUUUAAAAAAGAUUUUACCUUCAAUUUUUGUGUUGGCUCAAGUCUUCCAUAAUGCCGCUGGCCGAGAAGAAGUGGAAGGCUGGGAAGAAAUCCCGGAGGAAUUUGCCACUGGCGACAAGAAAAAGAAGUGCGAGAAGAAGAGCAUCAAGACGUACACGAUCUAAAUCUUCAAAGUCCCAAACCAAAUCUAUCUUGAUAUCGGAAUCUCAAGCAAGGCCAUGGGAAUCAUGAACAGUUUCAUCAACGAUAUUUUUGAUAAGCUUGCUUAGGAAGCUUCAAGGCUGGUGAGGUACAAGAAGAAGCCGACGAUUACAUCUCGGGAAAUUCAGACCAUAUUGUGAGACGUUUACUUCUUGGUGAGCUGGCCAAGGGUACCAAGGCUAUUAUUAAGUUUGCUUCUUUCUAAAUGAAAUUUGCUGCAUUUGUCAGUAGAUUUUGGUGCUAUAUGAUUUGUUUAGUUAGUGAUUUAGGCUUUUAAUUUUACUAGAUGAAGACGUUUUGUUUUUCUUUUCUUUUUUUUUGGGGUGGGUUUGUAAGGUUUGUUUAGAUGUACUUGAAAUUGGGAUCUGAUCUAGGUGACGUGCAUGUUCAUUAUGUGAGAAAAAGAAAAAGAAAUAUGAUUUCUAAAUUGUCUUGUUGGUUCUUUACUGAGUUGUGAUUCAAUAUUAUGAAAUUCUCUUAAGUGAAAUAACUGCAUUUUAGAAAUUUUUUUAUUUAAUAGGCGAUAUCAAUUGCUUUACAUGGAGGACUAUGUUGGUCUAUUAAACAUUUUGUGAUUCCAAGUAAUCUUAUUGUCAUUGGUUCUCAAAGCUUUGUUUAAUAAUUUAUCAUUUUGGCAGGAAGGGUAUUUUAGUAAUUUAAACAGUCUACUAACAGUCAAUGUAAUGAGAAACUAACGACAAGGGAGCUACCUGUAAUUACAUCAAUACAUUCCAUCUCAAUGUUAAUACGCAAAACCUCAGGGUAGGUCCCUAAAAAUUACUCGCUAGGUAAAUUUUAUUUUUUACCCCCUCAAUUUCGUAGUUCUCACGUAUUGUCAGCUGCAUUAAUAAAGUUUGUUGUUUCCAUGUUAUUAUAACAUGAAAAAUAAAAUAAAACGAAUUGCACAGCAUAUAUAUUACAUCGUAACAUAAAUAAUUGGUUCAUUAAUUUUGUUGCUUCCAUAUUAUUAUAAUAUGAAAAAAAAAAGAAUUGCAGAGCAUAUAUAUUACAUAAUAACGUAAAUAAUCGGUUCAUUAAAACAUGCUUAUUGUCAGAAAACUGAAAUAUUAGGUAUUCCUUCAUGGGUUAUUGCGUUUAAAUCGAGUUGAUACUAGGACUUUGGGCCAGGUUGGUAAUAUUGUAUUUUUUAAAAUUAUUGUUGUUGGAUAUGCUAUAGAAAUAAUGAUGAUGAUGAUGAUGAUGAUGAUGAUCUCUUUAAAGUUAACAAUUUUAUUUUCCAAUUGAUUAGGAUAAUUUUAGAUUUUUAUAAUAUAUAUAUAAGGAUAUACAUGAACUAUAUUAAGUAUAAAAUUAAUUUUCAAAAUUAGAUUUUGAAAAGCACUCUUUCCCUUCUUUUAAAAUCUCUUAUAAGAUGUGUUGAUUUUGUCAAAAGUGAUUUGUGAAAAAAUUUAAUAAACACCAAAAUUAAUUUUUAAUCUUUCAAAAUAACUUUUAAAUCUCUCAAAAGUAAUCCCAAAACAGGUCCUUUGAAUGAAUGCAACAUGUAAGUUAAGAAGGCGAAAUAUUGAUAGAGCUGCUAUCAGGAUUUUGAAUGAAUGCAAUAUGUAAGUCAAGAACGUGAAAGAACUGUAAUCUUAGUCAUGAAGUAUAUGCUAUCAUUUUGAGAUUGUCUUAUUGCUUCUUCACAAUCUCAUUUUGGUUUAAUUAAACAAAUAACAAAUAUAUGCUUGUUACUAGAUAUUUUGCCCCAUCUCUGACCACCACCCAUCUUGAAAUUUAUACAAUUUUAAUUUAUUGUAUCAUGAUAAGAAUGUGUGCGAUCAUGCAUGUGUUUUCUUCUUGGUGGGUCUAAGCCGUGUGACUUGAUGAGGAUGGCUGAGAAAUGGAUGGUUGAUUAUGAAAGCACAUCUUGCUAGUAUUUGCGAAUAAUUUCAUUGAUUUAUUAUAUAAAUCAUCUUAAAAGAUUUAACUUAUUACGAUUAAGACAGUUUAUUAGUGGAGUAAAUAUCAAUUUUUUUCUUUUCUCUUCUUUGUAUUUUUUACUUUAUAUUUCUUGAAUCUCAAUUUAAUCUAUUUAUGUCGAAAAUUAUUUUUUGGUUAUUAAUAUUUUACUCUCGGUUAUUGAAUGCGUUUGGUUUUUCACAAUUUUGAUAAAUUAAAAUGCAUUGUAACGGCAUUUUAUGAAAAGCCAAAUGCAUUUUAUUGAAAAGCCAAGUGCAGAAUCCACCGCCAUGCCUGUACUAUUGGCUUUUCAUAAUUUUGAUCACGCAAGCAUAUGUGGCUGUGUAAUUACGCACUGAAUCCAAAUCCACCCACCUUCCCCCGCGCGCCCACCCACCAUCCCCCCGCGCCCACCCGCCAAAAGGUCAAUUUUUUCCUCUUAACGUAUUAAUCUUUAAAAAUCAUUCGUGGAUUGGAUAUAUAGGUGACGUCUUCGUCGUCUAGCAUGCAUCAAACCAUGCUGUUCCAUUUUAGUUAAUGAAUUAUUUGUUUCAUCACUCAUGCAUGAAUGACAAUGGCAUGUGAUGUCCCUCGUCAGUCAUGCUACUUGGUAAACAUGCAUCAAUGACAACGGCAUAUGUAUGUCCCUCAUCCUUUAUAAAGACUGACGUUAACUUAUAAGCAAAUAAUCUUCCACCGAUAUGGAUUGCCUACCACCUUUAUUUAUUGUACUUAGUUCGACCCCAAACUGGAAAAAAAUCUAGUAUCAACAGUUGACAUUAUUUUUUUCCAAAAUACAGCAUCUUCCUUUCUCUCUUUACUACCAUAUAGGUCACAGUACAAAAGCCUCCCUAUAUUAUUAUUAUCUUUUUUCAGCUCAAUUUAAUCUUUCCUAUGGAUUCCUCAAACUCAAAGCCAGCAGCUGAAGUAGCCCAGGACGUGUCUCCCAUGUUUAAAAUAUACGAAGACGGCAUAGUGGAGAGGCUUAUAGGCAAGGAGAUAGUUCCCCCAUCCUUUGAUCCAAAAACAAGCGUUGAUUCCUGAAAGAGUUUGUUGACAGUGUUUGGCUUAAGAGAAACUAACAAGAAAAUAAAAGAAAAUCAUAAACGAAAGCUCUGAAAAAGAUCAUCUUAUUAUUAUAUAUAACUAAUGAUUACAACUUGUUAUUUAUAGUAAUGAUCAGAGGAAUCUCGUAGCUUGACAGUUUGUUGGAUCUAAUAUGCAUGCAAUACAGUUCGUUAUCUUUGCUGCUGAGCUAGAUAACUAACUAACACACGUAAGCAUUAUCAGCAGCUCCAUUUAAUCAGAUGCUCUCAUCUGUACCAUAUUAUCAUACUCUGUAACAUCCCUAUUCAAGCUGAACUGACCUGGAUGGACAUUCAGCUUGCUUCUUAGGUAGUGAAAUUGAUUGAAAGUUAAAGCUUUGGUAAGAACAUCGGCAUUUUGAUCUUCACUGGGAAUGAACUGAACUGUAAUUUGCUUAGCUGUUACUUUGUCCCUGAUGAAAUGAAUAUCAAAAUCAACAUGCUUAGUUUUAGCAUGAUAAACAGGAUUGUGAGCUAAAGCUAUGGCACUUUGAUUAUCACGCCACAUUAUGGGGGCUGUGACAAGAUGAAUAUGUAGCUCUUUCAAUAAGGACUGAAUCCAAGUGACCUCAGCUGUAGCUUGAGCCAAAGCUCUGUAUUCAGCUUCAGUGCUCGAUCUGGAAACUACUGCCUGUUUCUUAGAUGACCAGGAAACCAAACUUGAACCAAGAUAAACAGCAUAACCAGCCACUGAUUUGCGAUCAUCCUUAUCACAUGCCCAAUCUGAGUCACUAAAACAAUUUAUCUGCAUAGUGCCGUAAUGAUAAAAGUGUAAUCCAAAGUGAAUUGUUCCUUUCAAAUAUCUAAGAAGCCUCUUACAAGCCUCCCAAUGCUCUGUUGUUGGUGAAGCUAGAAACUGACUAAGUUUAUUUACAGAGAAAGCUAUUUCUGGCCUAGUGAGGGUCACAUAUUGUAAAGCUCCAACUGCACUUCUAUAUUUUGAAGCAUUUGAAAUAACAUUGCCUGACCAUUUUGUUAGAUAGUGACCAGUUGACAUGGGAGUAGGAACUGGACUGCUGUCAGCCAUAUUGUGCUUGGCUAGAAGAUCAGCUAUGUAUUUUGAUUGCGAGAGAUACAUUCCUGAUGUUGUUUUGGUAACUUCUAUCCCAAGGAAAUAACUCAGUUUGCCCAGAUCUUUCAAAGCAAAAGCAUUUUGCAUAUUUGUAACCACUUGUUGCACCAGUUGAUCACUUGAGCCUAUGAUGAUUAUAUCAUCUACAUAGACAAGAACAAAGAUUGCAUGACCACCUGUCCAUUUGUAGAAGAGAGAGUUGUCUGACCUUGAAUUGUGGAAUCCCCAUUGCAUAACCAAGCAUCUUUCAGUCUCUCAAACCAAGCCUUGGGGGCUUGUUUUAAACCAUAGAGUGUUUUCUUCAACUUAUAGACAUGAAGAGGUCGAGAUGGAUCAAUGAAACCCUCUGGUUGUCUCAUAUACACAUCUUCAACUAAUAUGCCAUUCAAAAAAGUAUUAUUCACAUCCACUUGUCUGAGCUGCCAUUUAUUCAUGACUACCAAACUUAAAAUAACUCUGACUGUGGAUGCUUUAACAACUGGACUGAAUGUUUCUGUGUAAUCAACUCCAUGUGUCUGAUGAAACCCCUUAGCCACUAACCUGGCUUUGUAUCUAGAAAUGGUUCCAUAAGCAUGAUACUUUAUCCUGAAUAUCCAUUUGUUUCCAACCACUUUAACUGGUUCACUUGGCAAGACCAGAUCCCAGGUAUAAUUGUUUUGAAGUGCUUGAUAUUCUUCUUGCAUUGCCUUAAACCAUUUUGGAUCAGAUAAAGCUGCUGAAAUAGAAGUAGGUUCUGAAGGUAUGGCUAGUAAAGCAGCUAGAUAAGAUUUAAGCUUAAAAAUACCAGCCUUGGAUUUGGUUAUCAUAGGAUGACCUAUAGGUGGUGCAGUAGGUAAUAUAUGAGGGGGAGAUUGUGUAUUAUGUGUAGGAUGUGUAUGUGAUGUUGAGGAAGGUGAAGAUGGAGAAAAUACCUGUAGAGUGUCAGCAGGUAGGUAAGCACUUGCUGGAGGAACUUGCAGAGGGGAUUGUACUUGUGGGACUUGGAACAAGAGUGACUCUAGACUCUGAAGAACUAUCUGAGGAACUGCAAAACUGAGCAAUGGAAGAUAAAUUUGAUCCAGACAUAUAUGGAAAAGACUGUUCAUCAAAGAUGACAUGGUUUGACACAUAUACACGACCAGAAGAGUGAAGGCAUUGAUACCCUUUAUGAGAAGAGCUAUACCCAAUAAAAACACAUCUAUUUGACCUAAAACUAAGCUUAUGAUUAUUAUAAGGUCUGAGAUAAGGAUAGCAAGCACACCCAAAGAUUCUAAGAAAAGCAUAAACUGGUACUUGCUGAAAGAGUUUUUGAUAAGGUGAAAUGUUGUUCAAAGUUAGUGUGGGUAGUCUGUUGAUAAGGAAUACAGCAGUAUGAAAAGCAUUCCACCAGAACUUAAGUGGCAGAUUAGCUUGAGCUAAUAGAGUGAGACCAAUAUCAACUAUGUGUCUGUGAUUUCUCCCAAGUCUUCCAUUUUGAUGAUGGAUAUAAGGAAAAGGAUGUCUGAACUGGAUUCCAAACUGAGGGAGAUAAGAUGAAAAUGUUCUAAACUCCCCUCCCCAAUCUGUUUGAACUGUUUUGAUUUGGUGUUGUAAGUGUUUUUCAAUGAAAGAUUUGAAUUCUAUAAAAGCUUGAAGGGCAUCUGAUUUGGCAGACAAAGGAAAAAUCCAUGUGUAUCUGCUAAAGUCAUCUAAAAUGGACAGGUAAUAUAUAUAGCCUUGAGUGGAGGCAACAUGUGAUGGUCCCCAAAGAUCAGCAUAUAUGAGUUGUAAUGGUGCUGUUGUUUUUGUGGAAACAGAACCAAAAUGUAAAAGAUGACUUUUACCAUGCUGACAAGCAUUGCAAAAACUUGGAGUUUUAUUGAGUACAUUAAGACUAUUACAAGCUUUCAAUACAGAUUUAAGUGUGUGUAAGGCAGGAUGUCCUAGCCUUUUAUGAACAAUAUUGACAUCAACUGAACUAGUAUUGACAGCCAAGGCUGAUUUACACAGCAACUGAUUAGAAGAAGUACUCUUAUUUAUUCCAGAAGAAACAUCAUUAGACAUAGGAAAAUGAUAAGCAAACAAAGACUGAGGUUUUUGGAAGAAAGUUGACAUGACAAAGCUGAGCUAGUUUCAAAGAUUUGAGCUGCAGAUUGGACUUGAUAUAAUCCCUCUAUUGCAAUUCCUCUAAGCAAAGUGAUCUCUGAGUUCCUGGCCUUGACAACACAAACAUUUUCACAAAACUCAAGUGUCACAUUGUUAUCUGCUAAAAGUUUAAAAACACUGAGUAAAUUCUUUUUAAUAUUUGGAACAUGAAGAACAUGGUUUAAACACAAGGGUUUAACUGUAGGAGUAGCUAGCAAUACUGAUCCAAUAUGUUUAAUAUGCAAUGCAAAACCAUUCCCAACAAGUAAUUUGUCAGUUCCAACAUAUGGCUGGAGAUCCAGUAAUUUACCUGAAUCAUUUGUGAUGUGGUUAGUAGCACCACUGUCAAUAUACCAAGCUGGAUCUUCAAACAUCUCAGGUGCAUGAGCUGGAACAGUGACUGGAGUAUUUGAAAAUAAGGAUGGUGAGCCAGAGUAAUCUCCAGUUGGGACAAAUGCAUGUGCUGGAGAGUAACCACCAUGAGAGUUAGGCUGUUGGUAAAUAUUAAAAGCAACUGAAUCUGAGUACAUCAAGUGACCUUGAUAACCAGGUGGUCUUGGUGAGUUGAAAUUCCCAAACUAAGAGUUACCAAUUCAAGCACCAAACUGAGGACUAAAGUUUCUACCAAAAUUUCCAUAAGCCAUAGCAGAUCUAUUUCCAUUUGCAUAGCUAAAUCCCUACCAUACUGCCUUUGACCAGGCCUAAAAUUUCCAUUAAAACCACCUCUCCCUUGAUUUCUUGAAGGAAUAAAGGCUGAAUUAAACCUAUUUCUGCAUUUAUUGGCAUUAUGACCAGGAAUAAAGCAGAUCUGACAUACAAUUUGUGACAAAUUACCAUCACCAGAUCCAGCUCCAGAAUUAUACACACCUCCAUAAGAUCCAUUGUUGAACUUUUGAUUACCACCAGUAUUUUUACCAGGAUUGAACUACUUUUAAGCAACAUUAGCUGACAAGUUAUCUGUAACAUCACUUGCAACUUUUCCUCUCUUUUGUUCCACUUGAUUUUCAUGACUCAGUAACAAUGAAUAAAAGUCAUCAAGACUGAUAUUAUCUCCUCUAGCUAACACAGUAGUGACUAAUGACUCAUAAUCAGAGGAAUACAAUCCAGUUAAAACAUGUUGAACAAAAUUAUUCACUUUAACAGGUUUUCCAGCUAAAGCUAAGCUGUCAGAUAUCCUUUUCAUUUUUGCAAAAUAAUCAAUUAUAGACAUUGAGCCUUUUUUAAGAGUUUGGAUCUGCAUUUUUAGAGGCAUUAUUCUAGCUUGCGAUUGGGAGACAAACAUACUUGUAAGUGUAUCGAGCAGCUCCUUUGCAGUUGAGCAGUGGAUCAUUGUUGUCAACAGAUUUGGCUGAAUAGAUGACAGCAUCCAACUCAGAAUCAAUUGAUCCGUCUUGAUCCACAUUGUGUAAGUUGGAUUGAUCUCUUGAUUCUCUGUUCCAGUUGAGAAACCAACAACAGAGCUCGUAGCAGAGAAAAUUUUUUUCGGACAAACUUGAUUUCCAUUGAUGAAAUCUUCUAAACCAUUUCCUUUGAUGGAUGUAAGGAUUUGAGUUCACCAAACAAUGAAGUUGUUAUGAUCUAGUUCUACUGGAGUAAUAAAACUAAAGGAUCCAGAAUUUUGAUUUGAGUUUGCCAUUUGUUUGCUCUGAUACCAUGAAAGAGUUUGUUGACAGUGUUUGGCUUAAGAGAAACUAACAAGAAAAUAAAAGAAAAUCAUAAACGAAAGCUCUGAAAAAGAUCAUCUUACUAUUAUAUAUAACUAAUGAUUACAACUUGUUAUUUAUAGUAAUGAUCAGAGGAAUCUCGUAGCUUGACAGUUUGUUAGAUCUAAUAUGCAUGCAAUACAGUUCGUUAUCUUUGCUGCUGAGCUGGAUAACUAACUAACACACGUAAGCAUUAUCAGCAGCUCCAUUUAAUCAGAUGCUCUCAUCUGUACCAUAUUAUCAUACUCUAUAACAAUUCCAAAGAAGUUGUGUAUUCACCUGAAAAUAAUCUAUCCACUCGGCUUUACAUCCCCAAAAACACAAACAAUCCAAACCAUAAACUCCCUCUAGUGGACUAUAUCUAUGGCGGAGGCUUUUGCAUCUAUUCUGCCUUUCAUCCAACUUACCAUAAUUAUGUUAAUACCCUGGUCUCUGAAGCUAAGGUUAUUGUAGUCUCUGUUGACCAUCGACGAGCUCCUAAGAAUCAUGUCCCUUGUGGUCAUGAAGAUUCAUGGGCUGCACUCAAAUGGGUUGCUUCUCAUGCUGAUGGACAAGGCCCUGAAGAUUGGCUUAACCAUUAUGCUGAUUUUGAGCGAGUUUUUAUUUAUAGGGACAGCGCUGGAGGUAAUAUAGCCCAUCACAUGGUGAUGAGACUCCCUCGAGAAAUUCUCGACGGUUUUAAUGUUGUUAGUUUUGUUUUAGCUCAUACCUAUUUUUAGGGAAAAGAACCUGUUGGUGAUGAGACAACUGAUGCCGAAACUAGAGCUUCCAUAGAGAAGAUGUGGCGAGCUGCUUGUCCUGGUACAAGUGGGUGCGAUGAUCUGCUAAUUAAUCCGUUCGUCGGUUCGAGUCUAGCGAACCUCGAGUGCAAAAGGGUGCAGAUUCAUGUUGCAGAGAAGGAUUUGAUGAGAGAUAGAGGAUGGUUUUAUUAUGAGAAGUUAAAGGAAAGUGGUUAGGGAGGUGAAGCGGAGAUCGUUGAGUCUAAAGGAGAGCCGCAUAUCUUCUAUUUGCUCAGUCCCACUUGUGACAGUGCUGUGGCUAUGAGGAAGAAGAUUGCUUCCUUCUUCAACGAGAUUUAGACCUGAAUUUCUUAUAUAGGUUGUUCAAAUAAACUACUGCAAUUGUGAUAUAUAUUUCACACUCAGACUUUGAUUUGGUGUGUGUAUGAUAUGGUUGUAUUGUUGGUUAAAAAUUCUCAAAUUAAAUUGCUUCAAUCUCAAAUUUCAAGUCAAAAUUAUGAAAGAAUUGAUGUUAGCACUCAUGGUCUUUACAGAAUUAACAUAAAAAUCAAGUAUAAACUAAAACAAUAUUCAAACCUUUCUAAGAACUAUAUUCAUUGUAAAUCAUGUUCUUACCAUUGGCUUUUCACAUUUAUAACAAAUAGUUUUUUUUUUUUUGGAAAUUCUUAAUGGAUUUGUUUUUUUUUUUAAACUUAACAAUAAUUAAAACACAUACUAACUCCCGCCCCCAAACUUAUUUUGAGCAUUGUCCUUAAUAUUUCAUAAUCUAAAGAUAUAAAUACAAAAAGGUGAAAGAGAUAAAGAAAUCAUAAAGAAUAAAAGAAAAAGUUGGGGAGAUCACACUUGAGCUAGUUGCAAAAGCUUAAAAGAAGAUGACAAAGAACAAGAAACUGUUAGAAAUAAAAAUAUUAGGAAACAAAAAUAAACAAAAGUCAUUAGUAUCAUGCGAAAUAAAAGAAAAUUUCUCAAAUAAUGACACUAACAAGUCCUCCAGGAUAAAAAAGAAUUUGGUUAUAUACUUAGAGUGACUGUCAAGAAAACAAAAAACAAGACUAUUGAACCUCUUGAGCAUAUGAUCUAUGAAAGAAAAUUGGAAGUGACCUCGCUUUUACCAACCUUUUUCACAAUAGGGUUUGGAUUUGGUAUUAUCUCAAGCAUAUGGCUAAAAGCAUUCUCAAAGUGAAUCAUAGGUGCAUAGAAUAAGGGACUGCAGCUAUCCAACUUAUGGCUUCUUCAUGUUCAUUAAAAAUCAUUAAUUAAUUUACCAACAUGUUUAUUUUAUUUAGUUGCUAAAACAACAAAGAACUUUUUUGAAGAUACUUGAGACAAAGAAAUGGAUGACUCAAGUAAUGGUUUCAAGUCUAAUAACGGUCGUUUUUCUAUAGAUGGAGGAGGUAUAGACUUAGAGGGUGGAAGACAGUCUACUUUAGCUAUCCAUUUAUUAAGAUCCAUUAAUGAGGUAGACUCUAGUAUAGAAUUUACUUCACUAAUCAUAGUAUCUUCAUUUAUGUCAAUGCUAAAAUAAGUUAAAUAAUCUUUUACUAGUCAUCUCCAUUGAAAAGCAUAAAGGAAUUAUUGAUUGUACUCUCUAUUAGAUUGACAACUCUGUCGUCAUUAAAAUUCUCUAUAGCAUAAAGUUGUUUACUAACAAUAAACACAUUGAGUUCCAUAGUCAUAUUCCUAAAUGAAAUUUUUAUGACAUCAUUAUGACAAUUAUUAAGAAUUUGUUGUGGCUAAGAAAGGUCAACCUAAAAUAAUAAAAAUUUGAGAACAUGGGUUCUCUACAGGUUUAGUGUCAAGAACUAUGAAGUCGUCAUGAAAGUAGAAUUUAUCUACCUUGACAAGAACAUCCUCUAUAAUCCCUCUAAAAAUGUUGACAGAUUUAUCUACUAAUUAGAGUGAUACAUGAGCGGGCUUCAAGUCUUUAAAUCCUAAUUUCUCAUAGAUAGAGUAUGGCAACAAGUUAACAAUGGCACUUAAAUCAAGUAAAGCUCUAUCAAAUGCAUGGUCUCUAAUAACACAAGAAAUUGAGAUAAACUAGGGUAUUUAUACUUAGUAGGAAUUUUGUUAAGGAGAAUGCUAUUAACCUUUUCAGUUAGGAAUGCCUUUUGUGGGACAUUGUUUUUCCUUUUUACUAUACAAAGAUCUUUUAAGAACUUAGCAUAAGCUGAUAAUUGUUGAAUAACAUCAAGCAAAGGGAUGUUUAUACGAACUUGCUUAAACAUUUCUAGAAUAUCAUUAUAAUGAAUAUCUUUCUCUUAUGGGACAAGUCUUUAUGGGUAAGGAGCUUUGAGAACAUAAGGCUUUGAUUGAAUUCCAUUCUCAUUAGGUUUACUAGGUAAUUGCUUUUCAAUUGAAGUUGGUUGACUUUCUUUCCAAUGCUCAAGAACUUUUAAAUAAUUAUCAAUUGUUUUUCCAAACCUAAGGGUAGUUAUAGAUUUGGCUUUCUUAUUAGGCAUAUUAGAAAUGGAUGAUGAUCUUAUUUCAAAUUGACUUUUAGGGUUAGGAAUUGGUUAACUAAGUAGUGUUUCUUUCUCCCUCUCAGCUACAGUAGUUGCUAAUGGACCCAAUUGAUUUUAAGCUUUAAAAUAACUUUAGUGUUUCAAUGUAAGGCUUAUUGGGUUAAUUGAAUGAAAUUUUGAAGUAUAUCUCUAAAAAAGGUCUUCUUUGUGAAAUUCUAGUUAUGCAACCCAAGAGGGGAGGUGAAUUGGGUAACUAAAAAUUAUUCAAUUCUAAAACAAAACGCAAUGCAAAUCUAAAACGAAUUUAAAGCAAUAACAGAUAAAUCAAUCACAAAAUAAAAAGAUAAGGGAAGAGAGAUUCAAACACGGAGAUUUUUACGUGGUUCGGCCAAACUCGCCUACGUCCACGCCUCCAAGCUUUCCAAACUUGAGGAUUUCACUAAGCAAGCCUCCAAGGCUUCAAAUGCUUACAAUUGACUUCUAAUGUGUAAAUGAACCUUUACAACAAGAGAUUAUCCUCAAUUUCUUAACCCAAGUGUAUCACAACACUUACAAUCACUCAAAACAAAAAUUAUAAAUUUGUUCUGCACUCACAUAAUACUUAAGAUUACAAAUCAACGCCCAAUGUGUGACUAAAUGAAGCAAAAAUGUGUUUAAAGCUUUAUGAAGGUUGUAUUCUCUAUUAUGAGUUCAAUGAUAGCGUUGUGAUCAACCUUUGUUUGAAUUUGAAUGAGUUUAUUUAUACUUGGAGCUGAAAAAUAGUUGUUACUGAUUGUCUGCUCGUAAACGGAUCGCUGUUAACCAUUAACGGUUAACCGUUUGGACUGGUCAAAGUUACCGUUAAACCAAAUUUCAAAUAAAAGGUUGACCGUUUAUCACUACCCUUUCACCGUUAAUUUUCAAAAACCUGCAAAAUAAAUUUCUGCUAUCCGUUCUUACUAAACGGUUAAAUAUUAGUAAGGAAAGACAUUCUAGAAUUUAUCGGUUAGCCGUUUGAAGUUAACGGUUCGCCGGUUAUUUCUAGUAACCUGCAAAACGAAAUAGCCUAAUCCGUUUCUGUUAAACGGUGCAAGAUUAGUACAAGCUUCCAUCCUGGAAUUUAUUAACUGUUUUCUAUAAACGGUUCACCGUUUAAUUCCAGUAACCUUCCCAGCAUAUUUGUGUUUUCCAUUUUUGCUAACCGGUUAGAGCUUAAGCAAUUGACCCUCUCUGGAUUUUAUCGAUUAACCGUUUACUUCCAGAAUCACAGUUUUAGCCAAAUAUUGCACGAAAUCAUUUUCCAAGUUGAAAUUUAACAACUAUCCAUCUUUCAUGAACGUAAUUGAAAUGAUUAUAUGGCUUUUGUUUAUUAAUGAAUAGCUCUAACAUUUUAAUAAAAAAUAUUUAAAGUUUGUUAUCAUCAAAAUUAAUAUUAUAAAUAUAUACAUGUUAACACUUUGUUGGAGUGCACCAAAUUGUUGAAAAGGAGGAUAUGCUAGGUUAUGAGGGACAAAUUCUUUAUCGGUCAUGCUAAAUUGUUGUCCUCCUUUGUUUGAUAUAGUUUGAUUUUGUUUUAGAAAAAAUUAGGGUGAUUCCCUAAUUAGAAUUAUAUGUGGGUAAAUAUGGAUUAUUAGAGGAUUUUCCAUAUAAUUGUAAUGCAUGUACUAGCUCAGAAUAAACAUUUUGAUAGGCUGGUAAUGAAGGACAAUUCUGUGUCAUAUGAGACAAGUUGGAACAAAUAGAACAAAUUUCAUUAGCUACACUAGGAUGAUGAUUCAUUGAUUGGUUUAUACUUAAGACUUCUACUUUCUUGGAAAGAUUAGAUAGAGUGGCUUUCACAUCAAACUCAUUAUUAACUUCAUGUAGACCAUUGUCAUGACACAACCUAGACCUGGUCAGAUAUUGUCCGCACGGUUUUGUUCUUGGGGCGCCCUUACACCCCAAAACUUGUCUUGCCAAUUACGGUGUGAAUCGCCCCUUAUAAACUCAGCAUCUCUCCCGUGCUUUGCCGAUGUGAGAUUCGCCUAGAGUGUUACAACCAUUAAGUUUUGGACUGAUUUUUCUCUUUGAUUUAAAAUAUCUCAUUGUUAAGAAUUCUUAAAAAGUGAACUGAAGAAAUCCCAAGCAACCAUUUCAUAUAGGUUCAAAAACUUGCCACCAUUCAUAAACUCUACCAUACAACAAUUUGAUAUACAUUAUAAAAGUACUCUACUAGUUUACAUUUCUUAAAACCAUUGUAGGGACACUUAAGGAGUGGUUAUUAAAUCUAUCCCAACACUCAUAAAAUUGUUCACUUUCUCUUUGAUAAAAAUCACUUAUCUCUCUCUUAAGGGCAAUUGUUUUAGAUAUAGGGAAAACCUUAGCGAGAAAUUUAUUGCUCAAUCAUCCCAUGUAGUAGUGGAAAGUGAAUUCAACCAAUCUUUUGCUUUGUCUUUUAAUAAAAAAAGGGAACAUAUGAAUCUUAAUUGAAUCAUCGUUAGCUUGUGCAGAAACGACGCUACAGAAAUUAUGAUACCGCGGACCAAAGGCGGACCGCCUGCAGAAUCCGCCGCCAUGCACGUAGAAUAAGAGAGGGAGCUUCUUCUGGUUAGGGUUUUGGGCUUCAUACGGAAUGAAGAUACGAGCAGAUACGGGUGGUUCAGACGAAAUAACAACGUCUUUGGAUCGGACGCCAGUGGUGGGGUCAUCGGAGGGUGGGAUCUUUUCGCAGUCGGGUUCGAAUAACUCAACCCUGCCGUCUUUGUAAACCCGGAAGAAUCGGAAUUCUUUUGGAAUUUCCGAGUCGCUUGAUGCCAUGUUUUUAAUUUGAAGGUUCGGUUUGAAAUAUAAUCAUAAAAGAGAAGAAGGGUUCUUUGUGUUUGUGCUGUUUGGUGAAAGAGGGAGAGCCAUCAAACGUUUUAUAAUAUGGGAACGUACGUAGUCACCUAACUUUCACAGCAUCUUCUCGCCCAUAAGUUUCUGUUUCUUUGACAUUUAUUUUUUCUUUUUUUCAUACCUUUUUCUUAUCAGUAAAUAUUUACGAUAUACGAAUAUGACGUUAUAUUCCAAAUAUAGAUACGGGUCUGCCUAAGUACAGCUGCCCUGUAAAAUGCGGACCCGAUAGAUAAAGGAUUUAAGUGGGUUGCACGAAUGCCUUUUUCAGGCCAACCAAACCAACAAAUGAAAGAAACCAGUCACCAACUUCUUUUUCCUCUCUUCUGAUCAUCUGGUGGGAGAGAGGAAAACAAAUAAACAAUCUAUUUCUGCACCACUGCAUGCUUGUUAUAAGGAUAAGUUUCGAGCUAUUAUAUCAACUACAAAAUAAGUAAAUAAUGUUAGAUAUAUAUAUUUUCAUUUUAAAAAAUUAACAUGCAAAUGGUAAUUAUAUUAAAUUUAAUCACACAUAUUAUGCAUGUAUUAGUUGGUUGUAUUACCUCUAGGCUGUGUUUACUUUCUGGAGUGGGAGUAAGGAGUGUGAAUUCAUUUCACCUUNNNNNNNNNNNNNNNNNNNNNNNNNNNNNNNNNNNNNNNNNNNNNNNNNNNNNNNNNNNNNNNNNNNNNNNNNNNNNNNNNNNNNNNNNNNNNNNNNNNNAAAUAAAUAAUAUAUAUAUAUUAAUUUGUAUUGAUUAUAAGUUAAAUUUACUUAAAAUAAUAUUAUUAUAUUAAUAGAGAAUUAAUAAAUAUUACUAUAUGCUAUCUUUAUUUAAUAAUAUAAUAUUAUUAUAUUUAUUUUAAAAAUAAUAGUACUAUAUUUAUUUAAUAUUAAUAAUUAAUAAUAAUAAAUAGUUUAUUAUAAGAAAAUAUUAAUUUUGUACUAAAUAAUAUUAUAUCAAUAAAUAAUAAAUUUAAUAUAAUUAUAUUAAAUAAAAUAAUGUUUCAUUUUAUAUUUAUCCUUCUUUUUAUUAAAUUUAAUAUUAUUAUAUUUAAUAAAUAUUUAAAUAAUAUUAUUAUAUUUAACUAAAUAAUAAUUAGAUUUGAUUCUAAGUUUAAUUUACUUAAAAAUAAUAUUAUUAUAUUAAUUAUUAUGUUCAUAAUUAAGAAUAUUAAUAAUUAUUAUAAAUUUACAAGUAUAAUAAAAUAAAUGUUUAUUCAUUAAAUAUAUUUUUUAUUAACUUUGUAAUUAAAAAUUAUAAUUCUUUGAUUAAGGAUAAAAUUGUAACUUGAAACUAUUUACUCCCAAUCCAAGAUAAAGUAAACACAUAAAUUGGAUUCCAAUCUCCAUUCCAUGCUUCCAUUCUAGUACAAGUAAACAACAUACUCUCACUCCCACUCCACACUCCCAAUUCUAGGAUUCUCACUCCAAUCCAAAAAGUAAACGCUACCUCUCUAAUGUAUUCUAAAAUUCUUCCCAACAUUAAUAAAUUAUUCGAAGGAUUAAUGAAUUAGAAGAAUUAGGAUAUAGUAUUGAGCUGAGUUUUUAUUUGAAAAUUGAAUUAAUAGUCAGGAUUAUUUUAAUUUUUUUAUUUUUUAUUUCUCGUGUCUAACAAUUUUUACUCUCUUAUUUCUUUUUCCGAUUUGUCUUUAUUUUAUUGGAGUUAGAAAAUCAUUCUUUUUUAUUUUAUUGGAGUUAGAAAAUCAUUCUUUUUUUUUCACACACUAAAAUCACCGGCAAUGGAUCCACCUCAUAACUAGUGGUGGUUUAAACCCCCAUUAGAGUUUUUUAAUUUUUAAAAAAAUUAAAAAAAUUACUUGAGUUACUAAUUAUCCCUAUUAAAUUUUAAAAAAUAGCCCAUUUAAUUUAAGGAUAAAGAUCCUCUCAUGAUUUAAUCAUAUUUGAGUUUUGAAGAAUCUUUUGACAUUUAUACAUUAUUAUUUAUGUAUGGUCAAAGGAUUUCUUUAUGAUACUGUAUGUAUUUUUACAGCAUUGAUAGUGGGAUUAAUGUGGACCAUUAGUUUUAAGUAUUUUAAUCUCAAUCGUCCAUUUAAUAUAAUGGAUAAUUAAAUAAUUAAUGAAAAUGUAGCACAUAGUCUACAAGUUGUUGGUAAAUAUUUUUUUAAUUUUAAAUUAAUAUUAAUUUGAGAAAAAGCCACACACAUCCCAAGGUUUGCUCAAAUAGUCAUAUAGAUCCACUUAGUUUCAUAAAUGGUAAUACAAACCCCUUAAUUUUCAUAAAUGACUAUUAUACGUUUUGAUUUACACAACCUAAAUAAAUAUACAUAUAGUAAUAGGAUAAAAAUAAUAAUAAAUAUCAUAUGAUACAAAUAAAAUAUUAAAAUAAGUAUAAUUAAUAAAAUAACAUGUAUAAUGAAUUUUUUUAAUGUUAAGUUAUUAUUAAUCUAUUCCGAUGGAUUAAAAUUUGACUUUAAGAUAGAUAUUAAUACAUAUAUAAUUAGAAAAGAUAUUGUAAAUAAAACACUAUAAAUUUUUAUAAAUUGUUGUGAGUGUUAGGUAUAACUAUUUCAAUAUUCUAUAUCAUACAUCAUACUUAAGAUGUUGAUUUUGUUGAAGUGUUAUGUUAUUAAACAUUAAGCUUUGCAUUUAUAAUGUGCCACAACUUUAAUGUAAAAUGUAAUAAAAAAUAUAAAGACGUUUUUUAGUAAUCAAUUGUAUUGUAAUAUGAUCAAAUUACUAUAGAGUUAUCAUAUUUUCACUGUUGAAUAUGCAUAUGGUUCUUAUUGAAUACGAAGGUGCAUCAUUACAGAUAGCACAAUUUCAUCAUCAUCAUCAUCUUGCACCAUUUAAAAAAAUGGAAAUAUAGACCUAAAUUAAGCUAAUGGAGGAAGACCAACAGUCCUGAAAAGUUGUUCCAUAAAUUUAAGCCUACAGUGAUACUUAUUUCUAAAUUGACACUCCAAGUAACUUAAGGUAUGUUCAGUAUCAUUUUGUAGCCCCUAUUUUCAUUUUCAUUUUAAUAGUACAGCUGUAAUAUAUGUUUGGUGAGCCUAAACCUUAAAUCAAAUUAUAAAAUGUAUUAAACAGAAUCUAUUUGAUAGUAAUAAAAGUUAAAACAUGUUAAACACGUUUUCUGUAAAUUACAAAACGAAUUAUAAAAUAAUAUACUACAUGUCUUCCAAAGUAUAGCAAAUAAAAUAUAUUUUACAAACACUAUUAUAGAAAGACAUAUAAGACAUAUGUUAAGUUAGUAGAUGUGAUUUUUCUUGUAUUCAUUAAGACAUGAAUUGAUACCCACACACACAUAUUGAGUACUUCUAUCUACCCCUAUUUAUUAAUAGAAGGGAAAUUAAAAUCGUAAUUACCCUGAUAUAUUAUGAAUUGAUAUAUCACAUAUAAAUAUCAGUGAAAAUUAAUUUUUAGAUUAAUGUUGUAAACCAUUUAUAGGCAUUUAAUUAAUCUAAGGUCAAAUGAAAUAUAUCACAUGAUAUUUCAUGCAGUAGUACAAUUUUUAACACUUUCAUAUAGUUUUGUAAGCUAAUAAGCCAAUGAAAUAUACUACAUGAGAAAUUGACGGGCUAUUAUUUAUAUUUCACUAUUGGACAAAUAUGGAUCUUCCAAUUCUCUUCCAUGGCCAUAAAUUAGAAUAAAAAAAAUCACAUAGUAGAGACUACAUCCAUUUGCAUGCUCUCAAAAUAGAUUUUGAAAUUAGUUUUGCAUGCUUUCAAAAUAAAUUUUGAAAUUAGUUUGGUUACAUGAUAAUCAAAUUAUCUUAUAACAUUAAUGACAUAAUUUAAGCACUAUUUUAACAAUUGUGAGUUUUACAUUAAAUCUUCAAAUUAAUUACAUAUUGUCACUCUUUCUUGUUUUGCUUGAAAUUUCUAUUUAAUAAAAUUACGAAAAGUUGAUCAUGAAUGGUUUAGGAUACAUAGGUAAGAUAAACUUUAAAAGUCUAAUGAAACAUUUCUAUGAAUGUGGGUUUCAUAUGCAUGUUCAUAUAUUUCAUUGAAAUCAUAUAUUUGAUUGAAUUUUGUGUUAUUAAACGAAAUAUGUUAUUCAAGUGAAACAUGUGGGAAUUUUUAUAACUCUAGGGGUCGUCAUUGAAAUUUCGCAUACUUCUACCAACUCCACGAUCCAACAGUUCACCCUGUUAACCGGUUAUGUUAUUUUUUUAUUAAUAAAUAUAAUGUACACUAUUGAUUAAAUCUAAUGGUUAAUAUUGCUUACACUAUUAAUGCUGUAAAAUAAUUACAGCAUCAUAGAGGGGCCCUUCUUGGAUUUACUUAAUUAUUAUAUUCUCAUUUAUUUACCACUAAUCAUAUAAAAUAUAUUUGCUGAAAUAAAAGAUCAAAUCAAGAGAAAAACCUGAUCCAAAAUUUAAACUUUAACUUUGAGAAAAUAAAAAUCCACACUUUAAUNNNNNNNNNNNNNNNNNNNNNNNNNNNNNNNNNNNNNNNNNNNNNNNNNNNNNNNNNNNNNNNNNNNNNNNNNNNNNNNNNNNNNNNNNNNNNNNNNNNNUACUGCAUACUUUAUUCAUAUUGAAGUUGCCUUUUUUAGGCAUUACAUGAACAAACUUUAAAAAAUAAUAAGAGCCAUUAUCCACCAAAUACUGCAGCAACUCUCCAGUAAGAAUAACCUAAAGACCAGGUAAGCAUAAUCUUGCAAAUAACACUACUAAACUUCCAAAAGACUAGGACCACAAAAAAGCACUUUAUUGACACAAUUAAGGAAUUUUCAAUAGGUUUUAUUAUUAUUUAAUUUAGUUCCAUUAAAUCUGUUAAAAUAAUCAUUACAAACUCACUAAUUUAUAAAAUUUUAGUUUUUAUAUUUUAUCAUUAUGUAAUUUAACCUCUGAUAAAUUGUUUUCAUGAAGCCGCCACUAAGUGCAUCACUCUUUCGAACCUUUUAGUCGUCAUAAAGAGUUAAGAGUAAGUUUUACAGAAUUAGGGCAUGCGAGAGCUCAUUGUAAAUGUAGAAAAUUCUUAUCUCCUAGACCUUCUUAAUUCUCUUUUAUCAUGAUAAUAUAUAUGCUUUUAUAUAAAAUUUAUUUACUUAUAAAAAGAAUUUUAAAAAGCGGCUCCACGCAUCGCUAUCAUGAUUCGGUAUAUCUUUAAUAAAGCUGAAGGCUUGCAGCUCUCAAACAGAAAUAAUAAUUUUGAUGACCUUUUUUUUUCCGGUAUAAAAGGAAAAAGAAAAAAGAAAGUAAUCAGCGGUUGCAUAAGUAACCCAAGUCAAUGAAUUUUGAAAUUUACGCCACCAUGUCACUUUUCUGGACUAAAACAUUGCGCAAAUAGAGCAUCAUUCUAUUAAUUAUGUCGCCGUCACUGACGUCAAGUCUGUAUCCAUAUUUGCAGCUGAAGCAGAUCAAGAACAGUCCUCUUAUCUUUAAUUUUAUACAUUUUAAUAUUUAUUGAAUUUAAGAUAUAUCAAUUAUGCGAUUUAUUAAAAUUAAAUAUUUAAUAUUUUUUAAUAUUUUAUUUUUAUAUAUAGACCCGACCUCAUAUUUUUUCUCUUUCCUAUGUUUUUUAUUUUCCAUUACACUCUCUUUCCCUCUUCUCUUCUCUUGCUUUUUUAAUCCCUCGCUUUGGUUUGAUUUUUUUUUCGCAAUUACAAAAAUUUCUUUACUCUCUCAAGAUUUGAUAUGUUGUCAUAUUUUUAUAAUUUCGUUUUCUACAGUUAAUUUAAUUUUACCCUCAUAAAUGAAUAUAUAUGAAUUAGAUUAGUCAGCCAAAAUGUAGAAAGAAGGAAGAACAGGGAAUCAACUUCUUUUUGAAGCCCUGCAACCACCUUUUAAAUUUAUGCUGCGUUUACUUUUUGGAUUGGAGUGGAAAUCCUGAGGAGUUGAAAUCCUUGGAUUAGGAGUGUGGAGUGGGAGUGAGAGUAGAAUGUUUACUUGGACUAAAUGAAAGUAUGGAUUGUCAAUCAGAAUCCCAAUUAUUUGUUUACCUUGUCUUGGAUUGGGAGUCAAUUGUUUUAAAUUACAAUUUUAUCCUUAUGUACAGAAUUAUAAUUUGUAAUUAAAAAAUUAAUAAAAAAUAUAUUUGGAAAAUAAAAUAAAUAUUUUAUUAUAUUUAUAAAUUAAUAAUAAUUACUAAUAUUCUUAAUUAUGUAAAUCAUAAUUUUUUAUUAAUUUAAAUUUAAAUUAUGUGAAUAAAAAUUAUUAAUAAUAGCAACACAAAUGAAAUAUUAUUAUUGAUAAUAUAGUACAAAAUUAAUAUUUUUUUAGAAUAAAAUAUUUAUUAUUAAUUAAUUAAUUAAUUAAUAUUUAUUAAAAUUAAUGUUUAAUAUUAUUAAUUUAAAUAUAAUAUUUAUUUAUUUUUAUUUUAUUAAAUUUAAUAAAAUAAAUAUGAUAUAAUUAUUAUUUUUAAUAAAUAUGAUAUUAUUUAUUUUAUUAAAUAUUAUUUAUUUAUUUUAUUAUANNNNNNNNNNNNNNNNNNNNNNNNNNNNNNNNNNNNNNNNNNNNNNNNNNNNNNNNNNNNNNNNNNNNNNNNNNNNNNNNNNNNNNNNNNNNNNNNNNNNGUACCCUUUAUGCUGGGGCGGGGGCCAUGGAGUGUAGAUUUCUCCCACUCCAGUGUUUACUUACCUUAAAAAAGGGGGGAGUGGGAGUGGAAAUCUGUGGGUCCCACCCAAUUUUGGAGUGGGGAGUGGGAUUCCCACUCCCAUGGGGGGAGGUGGGAGUGGGAAUCCACUCCCCCCUCUUCCCAUUUUAUCCCUAUAAUAAAAUAAAUAAAUAAUAUUUAAUAAAAUAAAUAAUAUCAUAUUUAUUAAAAAUAAUAAUUAUAUCAUAUUUAUUUUAUUAAAUUUAAUAAAAUAAAAAUAAAUAAAUAUUAUAUUUAAAUUAAUAAUAUUAAACAUUAAUUUUAAUAAAUAUUAAUUAUUUAUUUAAUUAAUAAUAAAUAUUUUAUUCUAAAAAAAUAUUAAUUUUGUACUAUAUUAUCAAUAAUAAUAUUUCAUUUGUGUUGCUAUUAUUAAUAAUUUUUAUUCACAUAAUUUAAAUUAAAAUUAAUAAAAAAUUUUAAGAAUAUAUUAAUUUAGAAAUAUAAUAGAAUAUUUAUUUUAUUUUUCAAAUAUUUUUUAUUAAUUUUUUAAUUACAAAUUAUAAUUCUGUACAUAAGGAUAAAAUUGUAAUUUAAAACAAUUUACUCCCAAUCCAAGACAAAGUAAACAAAUAAUUAGGAUUCUGAUUGACAAUCCAUACUUCCAUUUAGUCUAAGUAAACACCCUACUCCCACUCCCACUCCACACUCCUAAUCCAAGGAUUCCCACUCCAAUCCAAAAAAUAAACGCAGCAUAAAGGAUUUGUGAGUAGUUGCCUCCUUCGGGAAAAGUGCCGGCCCAUAAAAAAAGUUAUAAAAGUAAAACAAUUUACUAAAUCUUUUAUGCUUUCAAACAUUUAGCGAGAUGAAUUCAGAGAGAGAAAUGGCUCAUAAAAGAAUAAAACGGAGAAUGAGGGAUCAAAUAUUUUUAAUAUUUAUCUUAAAUAAAUUUUAUCAUCAAUUUAUCUUAAAUAAAUCGAAUAUUAAUUGAGUAUAAAUUAAGAAUAUUUUUUUAAGAGACUUGACUUGCUCCAUCUUUAUUAUAGGAUUGAUAAUCAUUAUUUGAUUUUUUUUCAAAAUUUGUGCGACUACUUAAAAGGAAAAUAAAGCAACAUAGUUAGUGGAGCAUGAAAACGAAUACCGCUGUCACAUAAAAUGCCACGAUUAUGCUGCUAAGUAAAAGUCAAAAUUGAUUUCCUCCCUCCUCCCUCCUACAUUUGAAAGCACACAUUUCAUUCUAACGUAGAUAUCUAAGAGAUUGAUUAAAAGUCCAUACCGUAUGUGUUGGAGGAGCAUGAUUCCCACCAAUAAUGGAGUAGGUAUGGCCGUAUGGGCACGUUCGGUCAACGUCUUCUCUUCAGUUUUUAACAUAGCCAACGUACACAUGUAAAGAUCUGUAAAUAUCAACAAACAUUAAGUGAAUUAUUAUAUUUUAAGUUUUUGAAAAAUAAAUAUUUUUCCAACAAAAAUCUAAAAUAUAAGUGUAAAUUAUGAAAUGGGAUGGGUGUAAAAAUUUUGUUAAAAGAAAAUCUCAUUUAAUUGUUUAAUUGAAUUUUCAUUUAAAAUAAGAAAUGAACUAAUUUGUUAAUUAUUUAAGUAAUUUUAACUAAAAAGGGGGGUUUAUUAGGAAUUUUGAGGAGUGUCAAAAGUCGUAUGGUGGAAUUUGUUUUUCUAUUUGAAAUUUGGAUUUUUUGGAUUAGUUUAGAUUAUACAUAGUACUCUCUUAGUUCUGUAUAAGAGAGUAAUAAGGAUAGAAAUAGUGUAAAAAAGAGUCCUUAUUACUAUUUCUAUCCAUUUAAAAGUGAUAAAUUAAAUGGGGGUAUGAAACCGUACCAGUGACAUAUAUACUAUAGAGUUCUCAUUGAACGACUCUCUAUAACUCUUCAAUAUUGAAAUGUUAAUCAGUUAAUUAUGUUCUGUCAAUAACAAUUCAAUCACGAGUAUGGCGACAUGAAAAGUAAUUGACUUAAUAUAUGUCACUGGUACGGUCGCUGUCUCAAUAAAUUAAUUGACUAAUCCAAUCUAAGAAAGAGAAGAGGCCCUCGAGGCAUAGAAAUAGUAAUAAGGAUAAGGGUAGUCAUGGUGCACUGUUGUAGGUGGCCCUUGUCCUGGAGGCACAUUGUUAUUGUACUUAAAAGGAGGCGGAGGAGGAGUGCCCCAAGAAGGAGAAGACCCCGAUGGCCGCUCAGAUGUCCGCGGAGGUAGCGGUGGCGGAGGCGGAGAUGACGUUGGCGAUGGUGGUGGAGGCGAAUGGUAAUAAGAUUGUGGGGGUGAGUAGUGAGUCGGUGGUGGUGCCACUGGUGUAUCAGACUCUUCUGGUGACGGUGGUGGGGGUGAACAAAUAACAGGACAGGUAGCACAGUCACUUAUACAUAACAAACCCGCUGCAGGACCUGCCGUUUGGUCCUCGGCUGCAACUCCUUUGAGCAUCAUCGUCAUCAUCUCCAUGAGCAGAACAAACCAUUCUCGCCGUCGAAAUGUAACACUCUUGACGUGAUGAUGAUCCAUCUUGAUCAGUGUUGCAGUUGCAUAAGCUUGAAAAGAUUGAUCUGGCUUUUGAAUUUGUAAAAUGUGACUCAAAAGCUAGCAAUACUUAUCUCUUGUUACGUGACAAUAAAUAUAUGGAUGGAUGCGUGUGUAUGGAAUAAUUAAACUAAUACUAUAGAGCUCACUAAAGAGUAAAUUACUUUUCAUGUCGAAAUGACAGUAAAUUACUUUUCAUAUAUUACUUUUCACUAAAGAGUUGAUAUUCACUAAAGAGUAAAUUAUUUAAAGCUAAUCCGUGUGUAUGGCAAAAUCUCAUGGUAAGCAUAAUUGGAAAUGGACUAAAUGGAUUAGAUUCAAAUUUAAUUCUAAAAUCUUGAUUAGACUAAGAAAUUAUGAAUAUAUAUGGGUUAAUAUAAUUGGUAAGCAUAAUUGGGAACUGAUGUGAAAAAAAUAUAUAUGUAAUUAUGAAUUAAAGGUUAAUAAUAUAAAAGAAAUUAUAAUUAUGAAAUAAAAAUUAAUAAUAUAUAGAUAUAGUAUAUAUAAAUUUUAAAUGAGGUAUAAUAAAUUUUUAUUUUAUGAGUGGAAGAUAUAUUAAUAUAAUUUUUAAGAUAUAACAGUUAAAUGCGUAAGUGUAAAAUAAAAAACAUCACACUCAUAUUUCGUAUAUUACUUUUCACUCAAGAGUUGAUAUUCACUAAAGAGUAAAUUAUUUAAAGCUAAUCCGUGUGUAUGGCAAAAUUUCAUGGUAAGCAUAAUUGGAAAUGGACUAAAUGGAUUAGAUUCAAAUUUAAUUCUAAAAUCUUGAUUAGACUAAGAAAUUAUGAAUAUAUAUGGGUUAAUAUAAUUGGGAACUGACGUGAAAAAAAUAUAUAUAUGUAAUUAUGAAUUAAAGGUUAAUAAUAUAAAAGAAAUUAUAAUUAUGAAAUAAAAAUUAAUAAUAUAUAGAUAUAAUAUAUAUAAAUUUUAAAUGAGGUAUAAUAAAUUUUUAUUUUAUGAGUGGAAGAUAUAUUAAUAUAAUUUUUAAGAUAUAACAGUUAAAUGCGUAAGUGUAAAACAAAAAACAUCACACUCAUAUUUUGUAUAUUACUUUUCACUCAAGAGUUGAUAUUCACUAAAGAGUAAAUUACUAAAGAGUAAAUUAUUUAAAGCUAAUCUGUGUGUAUGGCAAAAUCUCAUGGUAAGCAUAAUUGGAAAUGGACUAAAUGGAUUAGAUUCAAAUUUAAUUCUAAAAUCUUGAUUAGACUAAGAAGAUAUAUUUCGUUCAUUUAUCAAAGUCUUCUCUUUUAUUUAAUAAUUCAAAAUAUUUAUUUAUUUGCUAUUAGUCAAUUAAUUUAUUCUUAAGUACUUAUUUACUUAUAUGUGAAUUUAUGACAUCUUAUUUUAUUUUUUAUUUUUAUUGAUAUUUUAUUUUAAAAUACUCAGCUAAUAGUAUAUAUAUAUAUUAACAAAAUUAUUAUCAAGAAGCAUGCUAUUCAUUGGUUGGUUAUGUUAUAAAAUAUUUUUAAAAUAAUUGAUGUAUGGUUAAUUUAAUAUUUAAGUAGCUUUAAUCAUUUAUCUUAUAGGCAAUAAUAUAUCUCAUAUAUAUAACAGUGUAAAAUUUAAAUAAUUUAAAUUUGUUUGUUAUAAUUAUAACUACCAAUUACUAAUUUAUUAUAUAUAUAUAUAUAUAUAUAUAUAUUUUAGUUAGUUGUAUUUUAAAAUUAAUUUUAAUUUUCCUCAUUAAAUAUCUACGAAUAACUUCAUUCAAAUUUAAUUUAACAGAGUCCAAUCCUCUCUUGUACAGAACUGAGAGAGUACUAUGUAUAAUCUAGACUAAUCCAAUCUAAUUUGAUUAGGAAUUUAUUUAAUGUGCCUUAAUGUUUACCACUUGAGACAACGACCGUACUAGUGACAUAUAUUAUAAUACUUGUAACAUUAUUGAGCAACAGUUGUGAUAAUAUCAGACUAAUUAGAGAACUCGUAACACAGAGUACGCAACUUGGAACAUAAACACACAAACAAGAGUUCUUGUGAAUUCAAUCCCCUUUUUGGAUCAGUUACACACAAAUUUCCAUGAUGGCUAAAAAAAUAUAACGAUGAGAUUAUGUGGAGUAAACAUCUAUAGGUGAGUUUUUGGCUAGGUAUGAAAAAUAAAUUAUAAAGUAGGGAUAUUUUUUACAUUAACUUAAUUUAGAUUUUUCCAUUCAAUAAAAAGCUAAAAAAUUGGCUUAUUUUAUUAAGUCAAAAUUAUCUAAAAAGUCUCAUUAAAUUAUAAAAACAAACACAUAAAAUUAACUUAAUUAAUUAAGUUAAGUUACUUUAAGUCAUUAAAUUAAAAAAACAAACAACCACCUUAAUCUUUUUUUUUUCUUUUUGGGAAGAAAAUUUCUGUUGAACAUGUGAAAAGUGAAAACAAUGGGAGACACAAUUGUACUUUUUUAGACAAAAUCUCAUGGUAAGCCACACACCCGUAGUAAAAUACUAUGUAAUGAAAAAAAAAAUGAUUUUAAACACUUUAUAUAAGUUGCAAACUGGAAUCAGAUAUUGGAAUUUAUAUUUCAGGAUUUCGAUUCAACGACUCUCUAUAACUCUUCAAUAUUGAAAUGUUUAUCGGUUAAUUAUGUUAUGUCAAUACCAAUUCAAUCACAAGUAUGGCGACAUGAAAAGUAAUAAAACAACCACAAUUGACAAUUAAUAUUUGCUUUCAAUACUAUUUCUGAGGGAACCAUUAUUUUGCUUGAUGAAGGAGAUGAAUUUAUUGGUCAACUCCAAAGCAUUUGUACAUGUAGGGUUUCUCAAAUAAAAGACAUGCUUCUCAUCGAGAUGCUCAACGAGCUCCACUCUCCCUUUCCAUCCACUUUUCUUCAACUCCUCGUAGUAAUUUUUCCCAGCGGGACACAAGUAGUCUCUCUCAGCCACAAAUAUCAAAACCCUCUCACCCCCAAGCCUAGCCAGAUCCUCUGCGGGCGGUUUCAUUCUAGGAUCCUGCGGCCCAUCAUUAUUUGCGCACAUGUACAACCACAUCUCAUCGUCCUCCGUACCGCCAAAAAAUGGGUGUACCAUCGUCACCCCAACCAAGUUCACACCGGGUAGCCCGAUUGAUCCGACCCGGAACGCCAGAGUGUGUGCUAUGUUCCCUCCUGCACUGUCCCCACCAAUGAAAACUCUCCCAAGAUCAGCAUGAUGAUUCAACCAUGGGUCAGGUCCGUUUCCGCUAACAUGGGACGCCACCCACUUGAGUGCGGCCCACGAGUCUUCGUAACAAGCGGGUAUGGGUCGAUCCGGGAAGAGUCCGUACUCCACGGAUACGACUAUGGCAUUCGCUUGAGAAGAAACGGUGUUACAGAAAUCAUGAUAGGGCCUCGCAAAGGCGGAGAAAGUGCAGAACCCACCGCCAUGCAUGUAGAGUAAGAGAGGGAACUUUUGUUUAUCAGGGUUUGUUACUUUAGGAAUGAAAAUACGGGCGGAAACCGUUGGUUGAGAUGAAAUAACAACAUCUUUGGAUCGGACGCCGCUGAUGGGGUCAUCGAACGGUAGAAUUUUGACGGAGGGGGGUCGGAAGAACUCGAGGCAGCCGUCAUUGUAAACCCGGAAAAAUGGGAACUCUUUGAUAAUUUCUUUAGGGCUUGAACUUGAUGCCAUUAAAGAAUACUGAGUAAAACAAUAAGUAAAAAUAAUAAAGAAAAGAAAAAGGAGUGGUCCCGCGCACUAUUUUGAAACUGGCAUAACGUUUUAUAAUUGGAAAAUGUUAAAUAUGAAGAAGAAUGAGAGAAAACUGAGAAAAUGAAGCAUGUGCUGAGAGAAGAAAGAGAGAGAAAAAAAGCCGACAGAAGAGAGAGAGAUGAAAUAAAAAAACAGCCAGUAGUUUCUCUUAGUAAGAGAGAGAGUAUGCAUGCAGCUUUCUUCUGAGGUAGAGUCGAGGAUGGCAAACUUGUUUCCCAGGGACUAAACUCUGCUUGUAAUUCGAAGCUUUCAAUCUUUUAUAAUUCACAAUUGCUGUGAAAUGGAUCAUUCACAAACGGCAGCAAUGAAUGACGAAUUCCAUCAAAUAAUGUUCUUACUAAGUUGUGUGUUGUGUUUGUAGAGUUUAAUUGAGGUACAGACAUACUCUAAUAAUAUGCCAUUUUUGUGCAUAUUUAUUUAGUUUGGUAUCAUCACUUGUUUUCACAUUUGUUCGUAUUGUAUAAUCAUACUGUAUUUUAUUAACAAGUUGUUUCUUUCAUAAAUUAAAAUGCCUUAUAAACAUAUUCAUAGUUCCUCUUUACAUUUUAUUUUAGGUUUGUUUUCUUUUUUAACACCAGUUUUCUUUUAAGUCAAUAGCAACUCAAUCUUCUCUCUAUUCAUGUGAGCGGAGUUCGAACUCUAAAUAUUUUAUUUUCAAUACGAGGGAUUUUAUUAAUAACCUUAACACAUGCAUUACAUCAAGUUCAAGCCUACGAGUAAAUCCUUCCUGUUACCGUGCCCGUAACAGGAAGGAUUUUAUUAAUAACCUUAACCCUAAAUAUACUAACAAAAGCAAAACAUACAUAUAAUCCCUCUCAUAAACACCGCACUAAUUAACUAAAGUUGUGUGAUAAACGAAACAAACUUAUUGAUCAGCUCUACAGCUUUUUCACAUUUAAGAUUGUCGAAAUAGAAGCUAUGCCCUUCGCCGUGAGUCUCAAAAAGGUCCACCGUUCCUUUCCACCCACUUUUCUUCAAGUCUUCGUAGUAAUUCAUAGCCACAGGUUUCAAAAAAUCUUUCUCAGCCACAAAUAUCAAAACCCUCUCACAGCCAAGCCUGGCCAGAUCCUCUGCGGGCGGUUUCAGCCGAGGAUCCUGCAACCCUGCGUUUGUUGGACACAUAUACAACCACGUCGCAUCUUCUUCAGGACUAGUGCCACCAAAAAAUGGAUGCACCAUGAUCACCCCAACCAACUUUACACAAGGUAACCCGAUUGACCCGACCCGAAACGCCAGAGUGUGUGCAAUAUUCCCUCCAGCGCUGGCUCCUCCAAUCAAAACUUUCCCAAAAUCAGCGUGAUCAUUCAACCAUGGCUCGGGUCCAUUUCCGCCAGCAUGGGACGCCACCCAGUUGAGUGCAGCCCACGAGUCUUCGUAACAAGCGGGUAUGGGUCGAUCCGGGAAAUUCCCAUAUUCCACGGACACCACUAUAGCAUUAGCUUGUGCAGAAAAGACGCUACAGAAAUUAUGAUACCGCGGACCAAAGGCGGACUGCCCGCAGAAUCCGCCGCCACGCACGUAGAAUAAGAGAGGGAGCUUAUUCUGGUUAGGGUUUUGGGCUUCAUACGGAAUGAAGAUACGAGCAAACACGGGUGGUUCGGACGAAAUAACAACGUCUUUGGAUCGGACGCCGGUGGUGGGGUCAUCGGAGGGUGGGAUCUUUUCGCAGUCGGGUCCGAAUAACUCAACCCGGCCGUCUUUGUAAACCCGGAAGAAUCGGAAUUCUUUUGCAAUUUCCGAGUCGCUUGAUGCCAUGUUUUUAAUUUGAAGCCUCGGUUUGAAAUAUAAUCAUAAAAGAGAAGAAGGGUUCUUUGUGUUUGUGUUGUUUGGUGAAAGAGGUAGAGCCAUCAAACGCUUUAAAAUAUGGGAACGUACGUAGUCACCUAACUUUCACAGCAUCUUCUCGCCCAUAAGUAUCUGUUUCUUUGACAUUUACUUUUUCUUUUUUUCAUACCUUUUUCUUAUCAGUAAAUAUUUACGAUAUACGAAUAUGACGUUGAUAUUCCAAAUAAUUACAGUUAAUGUGACUUACAGCUGCCCUGUAAAAUGCGGACCCAAUAGAUAAAGGAUUUAAGUGGGUUACACGAAUGCCUUUUUUAGGCCAACCAAACCAACAAAUGAAAGAAACCAGUCACCAACCAACUCUUCUUUUUCCUCUCUUCUGAUCAUCUGGUGGGAGAGAGGAAAACAAAUAAACAAUCUAUUUCUGCACCACUGCAUGCUUGUUAUAAGGAUAAGUUUUGAGCUAUAAUAUCAACUACACAAUAAUACACAAUAAGUAAAUAAUGUUAUGAUAUAUCUUUUUUUUAUUUUUAAAAAUUAAUAUGUAAAUAAUAAUUAUAUUAAAUUUAAUUACACAUAUUAUGCAUGUAUUGGUUGGUUUUAUUACCUCUAAUGUAUUCUAAAAUUCUUCCCAACAUUAAUAAAUUAUUCGAAGGAUUAAUGAAUUAGAAGAAUUAGGAUCUAGUAUUGAGCUGAGUUUUUAUUUGAAAAUUGAAUUAAUAGUCAGGAUUUUUUUUAUUUUUUAUUUUUUAUUUCUCUUAUCUAACAAUUUUUACUCGCUUAUUUCUUUUUCCGAUCUGUCUUUAUUUUAUUGGAGUUAGAAAAUCUUUCUUUUUUUUCACACACUAAAAUCACCGGCAAUGGAUCCACCUCAUAACCCGUGGUGGUUUAAACCCCCAUUAGAGAAAAUAAUUUCAAAAAAAAUUAAAAAAAUUACUUGAGUUACUAAUUAUCCCUAUUAAAUUUAAAAAAAAAUAACCCCAUAAACUUAUAAGCCCAAUUAAUUUAAGGAUAAAGAUCCUCUCAUGAUAUGAUCAUAUCUGAGCUUUGAAGAAUCUUUUAACAUUUAUACAUUAUUAUUUAUGUAUGGUCAAAGUUUACUUAAUUAUUAUAUUCUCAUUUAUUUACCACUAAUCAUAUAAAAUAUAUUUGCUCAAAUAAAAGAUCAAAUCAGGAGAAAACCUUAUCCAAAAUUUAAAUUUAACUUUGAAAAAAUAAAAAUUCACGCUUUAAUUAAAAAUAAAAGAGACAAUCGCUCAAUGGCGGAUCUAGAAAAAUAAUUUACGGGGGGCUAAAUUAGAUAAUAGUAAAAUAUAAAAAACUAAGAUUUUGAAUAUAUAAAAUAUUUGCUAAUACAUUUAUAAUUAUUCUCUAUGCAUUUUCAUAUUUUAAAAAUGUUAUGCAAUAGACUCAUUAUCAAUAUUAUUAAAUUUAUUGUUUCCUAUCUAAGUAACCAAACUAUCAUUUAUUCUAUCCGAUUCCAAAGAUGAUUCAUCAUGAGUUUCAUUAUUGAAAACAUUCGCUUUACUAUUAUUAUAGAAACUGGAAGAAUUAAUACUAUUUUUUAAAAUAGAAAAUAUUUUGGGUGGUGGGUUAUCAUUAUUUUUAAUUAAGAUAUAGAUUUUUAUAAUUCUUAAAAGUUAAAGUUUAAAUUUUAUGGGGUUUAUAAUUUAUAGUGACUAUUUUAAUAAAUUUAAUGGGGCUAAUUAAAAAGCUAAAAUAUUUUUCUCUUUUAUUUUUAAAAUUUUUUUUGGCCAGUGGGGGCUCAAGUCCCCACUGGUCACAAGCUGCAUCCGCCCCUGCAAUCGCUCACAUGGGUGUUUUAUAAGUGAAUUAGAAAUAGCACACCCAAAACAAAGAUAAAUGGAUGAAAAUACUGCAUACUUUAUUCAUAUUGAAGUUGCCUUUUUUAGGCAUUACAUGAACAUGAACAAACUUAAGAAAAUAAUAAGAGCCAUUAUCCACCAAAUACUGCAGCAACUCUCCAGUAAGAAUAACCUAAAGACAAGGUAAGCAUAAUCUUGCAAAUAACACUACUAAACUUCCAAAAGACUAGGACCACAAAAAAACACUUUAUUGACACAAUUAAGGAAUUUUCAACAGGUUUUACUAUUAUUUAAUUUAAGCCCAUUAAAUUUAUUAAAAUAAUCUUUACAAACUCACUAAUCUAUAAAAUUUUAGUUUUUAUAUUUUAUCACUAUGUAAUUUAACCUCUGAUAAAUUGUUUUCAUGAAGCCGCCACUAAGUGCGUCACUCUUUCGAACCUUUUAGUCGUCGUAAAGAGCUAGAGUAAGUUUUGCAGAAUUAGGGCAUGCGAGAGCUCAUUGUAAAUGUAGAAAAUUCUUAUCUCCUAGACCUUCUUAAUUCUCUUUUAUCAUGAUAAUAUAUAUGCUUUUAUAUAAAAUUUAUUUACUUAUAAAAAGAAUUUUAAAAAGCGGCUCCACGCAUCGCUAUCAUGAUUCGGUAUAUCUUUUAUAAAGCUGAACGCUUGCAGCUUUCAAACAGAAAUAAUAAUUUUGAUGACCUUUUUUUCCGGUAUAAAAGGAAAAAGAAAAAAGAAAGUAAUCAGCGGUUGCAUAUGUGGAAGGCAUCAACUCACAAUGGACAACAAAUCUAAGUAACCCAAAUCAAUGAAUUUUGAAAUUUACGCCACCAUGUCACUUUUCUGGACUAAAACAUUGCGCUAAUAGAGCAUCAUUCUAUUAAUUAUGUCGUCAUCACUGACAUGGAGUCUAUAUCCAUAUUUGGAGCAGAUCAAGAAUAGUCCUCUUUAAAAUAUCUUUAAUUUUAUACAUAUUAAGAAUUUAAGAUAUAUCAAUAAUGUAAUUUAUUAAAAUUAAAUAUUUAAAAACUUUAAUAUUUUAUUUUUAUAUAUAGACCCGACCUCAUAUUUUUUUUCUCUCCUCUUUUUUUUAUUUCCCAUUGCACUCUCUUUCUAUCUUCUCUUCUCUUGGUUUUUUAAUCCAUCACUUUGGUUUGAUUUUUUUUCUCAAUCACAAAAAAUUCUUUACUCUCACAAGAUUUGAUAUGUUGUCAUAUUUUUAUAAUUUUUUGAAUUUUGUUUUCUACAGUUAAUUUUAGUUUUACCCCUCAUAAAUGAAUAUACAUGAAUUAGAUUAGUCAGCCAAAAUGUAGAAAGAAGGAAGAACAGGGAAUCAACUUCUUUUUGAAGCCCUGCAACCACCUUUUAAAUUUAAAGGAAUUGUGAGCAGUUGCCUCCUUCGGGAAAAUUGCCAGCCCAUAAAAAAAAUUAUAAAAGUAAAACAAUAUACUAAAUCUUUUAUGCUUUCAAACAUUUAGCGAGAUGAAUUCAGAGAGAGAAAUGGCUCAUAAAAGAAUAAAACGGAGAAUGAGGGAUCAAAUAUUUUUAAUAUUUAUCUUAAAUAAAUUUUAUCAUCAAUUUAUCUUAAAUAAAUCGAAUAUUAAUUGAGUAUAAAUUAAGAAUAUUUUUUUAAGAGACUUGACUUGCUCCAUCUUUAUUAUAGGAUUGAUAAUCAUUAUUUGAUUUUUUUUCAAAAUUUGUGCGACUACUUAAAAGGAAAAUAAAGCAACAUAGUUAGUGGAGCAUGAAAACGAAUACCGUUGUCACAUAAAAUGCCACGAUUAUGCUGCUAAGUAAAAGUCAAAAUUGAUUUCCUCCCUCCUCCCUCCUAAAUUUGAAAACACACAUUUCAUUCUAACGUAGAUAUCUAAGAGAUUGACUAAAAGUCCAUACCGUAUGUGUUGGAGGAGCACGAUUGCCACCAAUAAUGGAGUAGGUAUGGCCGUAUGGGCACGUUCGGUCAACGUCUUCUCUUCAGUUUUUAACAUAGCCAACGUACACAUGUAAAGAUCUGUAAAUAUCAACAGACAUUAAGUGAAUUAUUAUAUUUUAGGUUUUUGAAAAAUAAAUAUUUUUCCAACAAAAAUCUAAAAUAUAAGUGUAAAUUAUGAAAUGGGAUGGGUGUAAAAAUUUUGUUAAAAGAAAAUCUCAUUUGAUUGUUUAAUUGAAUUUUCAUUUAAAAUAAGAAAUGAACUAAUUUGUUAAUUAUUUAAGUAAUUUUAACUAAAAAUGGGGGUUUAUUAGGAAUUUUGAGGAAUGUCAAAAGUCUUAUGGUGGCGUUUGUUUUUCUAUCUGAAAUUUGGAUUUUUUGUAUUAGUCUAGAUUAUACAUAGUACUCUCUUAAUUCUAUACAAGAGAGUAAUAAGGAUAGAAAUAGUGUAAAAAAGAGUCCUUAUUACUAUUUCUAUCCAUUUAAAAGUGAUAAAUUAAAUGAGGGUAUGAAACCGUACCAGUGACAUAUAUACUAUAGAGUUCUCAUUGCACGACUCUAUAACUCUUCAAUAUUGAAAUGUUAAUCAGUUAAUUAUGUUCUGUCAAUAACAAUUCAAUCACGAGUAUGGCGACAUGAAAAGUAAUUGACUUAAUAUACGUCACUGGUACGGUCGCUGUCUCAAUAAAUUAAUCGACUAAUCCAAUCUAAGAAAGAGAAGAGGCCCUCGAGGCAUAGAAAUAGUAAUAAGGAUAAGGGUAGUCAUGAGGCACUGUUGUAGGUGGCCCUUAUCCUGGAGGCACAUUGUUAUUGUACUUAAAAGGAGGCGGAGGAGGAGUGCCCCAAGAAGGAGAAGACCCCGACGGCGGCUCGUAUGUCCGCGGAGGUAGCGGUGGCGGAGGCGGAGAUGACGUCGGCGAUGGUGGUGGGGGCGAAUGGUAAUAAGAUUGUGGGGGUGAGUGGUGAGUCGGUGGUGGUGCCACUGGUGUAUCAGACUCUUCUGGUGACGGUGGUGGCGGUGAACAAAUAACAGGACAGGUAGCACAGUCACUUAUACAUAACAAACCCGCUGCAGGACCUGCCGUUUGGUCCUCGGCUGCAACUCCUUUGAGCAUCAUCGUCAUCAUAACAAACCAUUCUCGCCGUCGAAAUGUAAGACUCGUGAUGUGAUGAUGAUCCAUCUUGAUCAGUGUUGCAGUUGCAUAAGCUUGAAAAGAUUGAUCUGGCUUUUGAAUUUGUAAUAUGUGACUCAAAAGCUAGCAAUACUUAAUUACUUAUCUCUUGUUACGUGACAAUAAAUAUAUGGAUGGAUGGGUGUGUAUGGCAUAAUUAAACUAAUACUAUAGAGCUCACUAAAGAGUAAAUUACUUUUCAUGUCGAAAUGACAGUAAAUUACUUUUCAUAUAUUACUUUUCACUAAAGAGUAAAUUACUAAAGAGUAAAUUAUUUAAAGCUAAUCCGUGUGUAUGGCAAAAUCUCAUGGUAAGCAUAAUUGGAAAUGGACUAAAUGGAUUAGAUUCAAAUUUAAUUCUAAAAUCUUGAUUAGACUAAGAAGAUAUAUUUCGUUCAUUUAUCAAAAUCUUCUCUUUUAUUUAAUAAUUCAAAAAUAUUUAUUUAUUUGCUAUUAGUCAAUUAAUUUAUUCUUAAGUACUUAUUUACUUAUAUGUGAAUUUAUGACAUCUUAUUUUAUUUUUAUUUUUAUUGAUAUUUUAUUUUAAAAUACUCAGUUAAUAGUAUAUAUAUAUUAACAAAAUUAUUAUCAAGAAGCAUGCUAUUCAUUGGUUGGUUAUGUUAUAAAAUAUUUUUAAAAUAAUUGAUGUAUGGUUAAUUUAAUAUUUAGGUAGCUUUAAUCAUUUAUCUUAUAGGCAAUAAUAUAUCUCAUAUAUAUAACAGUGUAAAAUUUAAAUAAUUUAAAUUUGUUUGUUAUAAUUAUAACUACCAAUUACUAAUUUAUUAUAUAUAUAUAUAUAUAUAUAUAUAUAUAUAUUUUAGUUAGUUGUAUUUUAAAAUUAAUUUUAAUUUUCCUCAUUAAAUAUCUACGAAUAACUUCAUUCAAAUUUAAUUUAACAGAGUCCAAUCCUCUCUUGUACAGAACUAAGAGAGUACUAUGUAUAAUCUAGACUAAUCCAAUCUAAUUUGAUUAGGAAUUUAUUUAAUGUGCCUUAAUGUUUACCACUUGAGACAACGACCGUACCAGUGACGUAUAUUAUAAUACUUAUAACAUCAUUGAGCAACAGUUGUGAUAAUAUCAGACUAAUUAGAGAACUCGCAACACAGAGUACACAACUUGGAACAUAAACACACAAACAAGAGUUCUUGUGAAUUCAACCCCCUUUUUGGAUCAAUUACACAAAAAUUUCCAUGAUGGCUAAAAAAAUAUAAAGAUGAGAUUAUGUGGAGUAAACAUCUAUAGGUGAGUUUUGGGUUAGGUAUGAAAAAUAAAUUAUAAAGUAGGGAUAUUUUUUACAUUAACUUAAUUUAGAUUUCUCCAUUCAUUAAAAAGCUAAAAAUUUGGCUUAUUUUAUUAAGUCAAAAUUAUCUAAAAAAUCUCAUUAAGUUAUAAAAACAAACACCUAAAAUUAAUUUAAUUAAUUAAGUUAAGUUACUUUAAGUCAUUAAGUUAAAAAACAAACUGCCACCUUAAUUUUUUUUUCUUUUUGGGAAGGAAAUUUCUGUUGAACAUGUGAAAAGUGAAAACAAUGGGAGACACAAUUGUACUUUUUUAGACAAAAUCUCAUGGUAAGCCACACACCCGUAGUAAAAUACUAUGUAAUGAAAAAAAAAAUGAUUUUAAACACUUUAUAUAAGUUGCAAACUGGAAUCAGAUAUUGGAAUUUAUAUUUCAGGAUUUCGAUUCAACGACUCUCUAUAACUCUUCAAUAUUGAAAUGUUUAUCGGUUAAUUAUGUUAUGUCAAUACCAAUUCAAUCACAAGUAUGGCGACAUGAAAAGUAAUAAAACAACCACAAUUGACAAUUAAUAUUUGCUUUCAAUACUAUUUCUGAGGGAACCAUUAUUUUGCUUGAUGAAGGAGAUGAAUUUAUUGGUCAACUCCAAAGCAUUUGUACAUGUAGGGUUUCUCAAAUAAAAGACAUGCUUCUCAUCGAGAUGCUCAACGAGCUCCACUCUGCCUUUCCAUCCACUUUUCUUCAACUCCUCGUAGUAAUUUUUCCCAGCGGGACACAAGUAGUCUCUCUCAGCCACAAAUAUCAAAACCCUCUCACCCCCAAGCCUAGCCAGAUCCUCUGCGGGCGGUUUCAUUCUAGGAUCCUGCGGCCCAUCAUUAUUUGCGCACAUGUACAACCACAUCUCAUCGUCCUCCGUACCGCCAAAAAAUGGGUGUACCAUCGUCACCCCAACCAAGUUCACACCGGGUAGCCCGAUUGAUCCGACCCGGAACGCCAGAGUGUGUGCUAUGUUCCCUCCUGCACUGUCCCCACCAAUGAAAACUCUCCCAAGAUCAGCAUGAUGAUUCAACCAUGGGUCAGGUCCGUUUCCGCUAACAUGGGACGCCACCCACUUGAGUGCGGCCCACGAGUCUUCGUAACAAGCGGGUAUGGGUCGAUCCGGGAAGAGUCCGUACUCCACGGAUACGACUAUGGCAUUCGCUUGAGAAGAAACGGUGUUACAGAAAUCAUGAUAGGGCCUCGCAAAGGCGGAGAAAGUGCAGAACCCACCGCCAUGCAUGUAGAGUAAGAGAGGGAACUUUUGUUUAUCAGGGUUUGUUACUUUAGGAAUGAAAAUACGGGCGGAAACCGUUGGUUGAGAUGAAAUAACAACAUCUUUGGAUCGGACGCCGCUGAUGGGGUCAUCGAACGGUAGAAUUUUGACGGAGGGGGGUCGGAAGAACUCGAGGCAGCCGUCAUUGUAAACCCGGAAAAAUGGGAACUCUUUGAUAAUUUCUUUAGGGCUUGAACUUGAUGCCAUUAAAGAAUACUGAGUAAAACAAUAAGUAAAAAUAAUAAAGAAAAGAAAAAGGAGUGGUCCCGCGCACUAUUUUGAAACUGGCAUAACGUUUUAUAAUUGGAAAAUGUUAAAUAUGAAGAAGAAUGAGAGAAAACUGAGAAAAUGAAGCAUGUGCUGAGAGAAGAAAGAGAGAGAAAAAAAGCCGACAGAAGAGAGAGAGAUGAAAUAAAAAAACAGCCAGUAGUUUCUCUUAGUAAGAGAGAGAGUAUGCAUGCAGCUUUCUUCUGAGGUAGAGUCGAGGAUGGCAAACUUGUUUCCCAGGGACUAAACUCUGCUUGUAAUUCGAAGCUUUCAAUCUUUUAUAAUUCACAAUUGCUGUGAAAUGGAUCAUUCACAAACGGCAGCAAUGAAUGACGAAUUCCAUCAAAUAAUGUUCUUACUAAGUUGUGUGUUGUGUUUGUAGAGUUUAAUUGAGGUACAGACAUACUCUAAUAAUAUGCCAUUUUUGUGCAUAUUUAUUUAGUUUGGUAUCAUCACUUGUUUUCACAUUUGUUCGUAUUGUAUAAUCAUACUGUAUUUUAUUAACAAGUUGUUUCUUUCAUAAAUUAAAAUGCCUUAUAAACAUAUUCAUAGUUCCUCUUUACAUUUUAUUUUAGGUUUGUUUUCUUUUUUAACACCAGUUUUCUUUUAAGUCAAUAGCAACUCAAUCUUCUCUCUAUUCAUGUGAGCGGAGUUCGAACUCUAAAUAUUUUAUUUUCAAUACGAGGGAUUUUAUUAAUAACCUUAACACAUGCAUUACAUCAAGUUCAAGCCUACGAGUAAAUCCUUCCUGUUACCGUGCCCGUAACAGGAAGGAUUUUAUUAAUAACCUUAACCCUAAAUAUACUAACAAAAGCAAAACAUACAUAUAAUCCCUCUCAUAAACACCGCACUAAUUAACUAAAGUUGUGUGAUAAACGAAACAAACUUAUUGAUCAGCUCUACAGCUUUUUCACAUUUAAGAUUGUCGAAAUAGAAGCUAUGCCCUUCGCCGUGAGUCUCAAAAAGGUCCACCGUUCCUUUCCACCCACUUUUCUUCAAGUCUUCGUAGUAAUUCAUAGCCACAGGUUUCAAAAAAUCUUUCUCAGCCACAAAUAUCAAAACCCUCUCACAGCCAAGCCUGGCCAGAUCCUCUGCGGGCGGUUUCAGCCGAGGAUCCUGCAACCCUGCGUUUGUUGGACACAUAUACAACCACGUCGCAUCUUCUUCAGGACUAGUGCCACCAAAAAAUGGAUGCACCAUGAUCACCCCAACCAACUUUACACAAGGUAACCCGAUUGACCCGACCCGAAACGCCAGAGUGUGUGCAAUAUUCCCUCCAGCGCUGGCUCCUCCAAUCAAAACUUUCCCAAAAUCAGCGUGAUCAUUCAACCAUGGCUCGGGUCCAUUUCCGCCAGCAUGGGACGCCACCCAGUUGAGUGCAGCCCACGAGUCUUCGUAACAAGCGGGUAUGGGUCGAUCCGGGAAAUUCCCAUAUUCCACGGACACCACUAUAGCAUUAGCUUGUGCAGAAAAGACGCUACAGAAAUUAUGAUACCGCGGACCAAAGGCGGACUGCCCGCAGAAUCCGCCGCCACGCACGUAGAAUAAGAGAGGGAGCUUAUUCUGGUUAGGGUUUUGGGCUUCAUACGGAAUGAAGAUACGAGCAAACACGGGUGGUUCGGACGAAAUAACAACGUCUUUGGAUCGGACGCCGGUGGUGGGGUCAUCGGAGGGUGGGAUCUUUUCGCAGUCGGGUCCGAAUAACUCAACCCGGCCGUCUUUGUAAACCCGGAAGAAUCGGAAUUCUUUUGCAAUUUCCGAGUCGCUUGAUGCCAUGUUUUUAAUUUGAAGCCUCGGUUUGAAAUAUAAUCAUAAAAGAGAAGAAGGGUUCUUUGUGUUUGUGUUGUUUGGUGAAAGAGGUAGAGCCAUCAAACGCUUUAAAAUAUGGGAACGUACGUAGUCACCUAACUUUCACAGCAUCUUCUCGCCCAUAAGUAUCUGUUUCUUUGACAUUUACUUUUUCUUUUUUUCAUACCUUUUUCUUAUCAGUAAAUAUUUACGAUAUACGAAUAUGACGUUGAUAUUCCAAAUAAUUACAGUUAAUGUGACUUACAGCUGCCCUGUAAAAUGCGGACCCAAUAGAUAAAGGAUUUAAGUGGGUUACACGAAUGCCUUUUUUAGGCCAACCAAACCAACAAAUGAAAGAAACCAGUCACCAACCAACUCUUCUUUUUCCUCUCUUCUGAUCAUCUGGUGGGAGAGAGGAAAACAAAUAAACAAUCUAUUUCUGCACCACUGCAUGCUUGUUAUAAGGAUAAGUUUUGAGCUAUAAUAUCAACUACACAAUAAUACACAAUAAGUAAAUAAUGUUAUGAUAUAUCUUUUUUUUAUUUUUAAAAAUUAAUAUGUAAAUAAUAAUUAUAUUAAAUUUAAUUACACAUAUUAUGCAUGUAUUGGUUGGUUUUAUUACCUCUAAUGUAUUCUAAAAUUCUUCCCAACAUUAAUAAAUUAUUCGAAGGAUUAAUGAAUUAGAAGAAUUAGGAUCUAGUAUUGAGCUGAGUUUUUAUUUGAAAAUUGAAUUAAUAGUCAGGAUUUUUUUUAUUUUUUAUUUUUUAUUUCUCUUAUCUAACAAUUUUUACUCGCUUAUUUCUUUUUCCGAUCUGUCUUUAUUUUAUUGGAGUUAGAAAAUCUUUCUUUUUUUUCACACACUAAAAUCACCGGCAAUGGAUCCACCUCAUAACCCGUGGUGGUUUAAACCCCCAUUAGAGAAAAUAAUUUCAAAAAAAAUUAAAAAAAUUACUUGAGUUACUAAUUAUCCCUAUUAAAUUUAAAAAAAAAUAACCCCAUAAACUUAUAAGCCCAAUUAAUUUAAGGAUAAAGAUCCUCUCAUGAUAUGAUCAUAUCUGAGCUUUGAAGAAUCUUUUAACAUUUAUACAUUAUUAUUUAUGUAUGGUCAAAGUUUACUUAAUUAUUAUAUUCUCAUUUAUUUACCACUAAUCAUAUAAAAUAUAUUUGCUCAAAUAAAAGAUCAAAUCAGGAGAAAACCUUAUCCAAAAUUUAAAUUUAACUUUGAAAAAAUAAAAAUUCACGCUUUAAUUAAAAAUAAAAGAGACAAUCGCUCAAUGGCGGAUCUAGAAAAAUAAUUUACGGGGGGCUAAAUUAAAUAAUAGUAAAAUAUAAAAAACUAAGAUUUUGAAUAUAUAAAAUAUUUGCUAAUACAUUUAUAAUUAUUCUCUAUGCAUUUUCAUAUUUUAAAAAUGUUAUGCAAUAGACUCAUUAUCAAUAUUAUUAAAUUUAUUGUUUCCUAUCUAAGUAACCAAACUAUCAUUUAUUCUAUCCGAUUCCAAAGAUGAUUCAUCAUGAGUUUCAUUAUUGAAAACAUUCGCUUUACUAUUAUUAUAGAAACUGGAAGAAUUAAUACUAUUUUUUAGAAUAGAAAAUAUUUUGGGUGGUGGGUUAUCAUUAUUUUUAAUUAAGAUAUAGAUUUUUAUAAUUCUUAAAAGUUAAAGUUUAAAUUUUAUGGGGUUUAUAAUUUAUAGUGACUAUUUUAAUAAAUUUAAUGGGGCUAAUUAAAAAGCUAAAAUAUUUUUCUCUUUUAUUUUUAAAAUUUUUUUUGGCCAGUGGGGGCUCAAGUCCCCACUGGUCACAAGCUGCAUCCGCCCCUGCAAUCGCUCACAUGGGUGUUUUAUAAGUGAAUUAGAAAUAGCACACCCAAAACAAAGAUAAAUGGAUGAAAAUACUGCAUACUUUAUUCAUAUUGAAGUUGCCUUUUUUAGGCAUUACAUGAACAUGAACAAACUUAAGAAAAUAAUAAGAGCCAUUAUCCACCAAAUACUGCAGCAACUCUCCAGUAAGAAUAACCUAAAGACAAGGUAAACAUAAUUUUGCAAAUAACACUACUAAACUUCCAAAAGACUAGGACCACAAAAAAACACUUUAUUGACACAAUUAAGGAAUUUUCAACAGGUUUUACUAUUAUUUAAUUUAAGCCCAUUAAAUUUAUUAAAAUAAUCUUUACAAACUCACUAAUCUAUAAAAUUUUAGUUUUUAUAUUUUAUCACUAUGUAAUUUAACCUCUGAUAAAUUGUUUUCAUGAAGCCGCCACUAAGUGCGUCACUCUUUCGAACCUUUUAGUCGUCGUAAAGAGCUAGAGUAAGUUUUGCAAAAUUAGGGCAUGCGAGAGCUCAUUGUAAAUGUAGAAAAUUCUUAUCUCCUAGACCUUCUUAAUUCUCUUUUAUCAUGAUAAUAUAUAUGCUUUUAUAUAAAAUUUAUUUACUUAUAAAAAGAAUUUUAAAAAGCGGCUCCACGCAUCGCUAUCAUGAUUCGGUAUAUCUUUUAUAAAGCUGAACGCUUGCAGCUUUCAAACAGAAAUAAUAAUUUUGAUGACCUUUUUUUCCGGUAUAAAAGGAAAAAGAAAAAAGAAAGUAAUCAGCGGUUGCAUAUGUGGAAGGCAUCAACUCACAAUGGACAACAAAUCUAAGUAACCCAAAUCAAUGAAUUUUGAAAUUUGAGUAAUGAUAUAGCCACAAACUCUUGUACAAACUUAUUUUGUACAAACUGACGUGGCAGGAUAAGAUUGGUUGAAUUAAAUAUCACUUGGCCCACAUGAUUUGUUUUUAUUAUUUUAUAUUUUCAUUCAACCAAUGAAUUAAUGCCAUGUUAAUUUGUACAAAAUAAGUUUGUACAAGAGUUUGUGGCUGUAUCAGUACUCUUGAAAUUUACGCCACCAUGUCACUUUUCUGGACUAAAACAUUGCGCUAAUAGAGCAUCAUUCUAUUAAUUAUGUCGUCAUCACUGACAUGGAGUCUAUAUCCAUAUUUGGAGCAGAUCAAGAAUGGUCCUCUUUAAAAUAUCUUUAAUUUUAUACAUAUUAAGAAUUUAAGAUAUAUCAAUAAUGUAAUUUAUUAAAAUUAAAUAUUUAAAAACUUUAAUAUUUUAUUUUUAUAUAUAGACCCGACCUCAUAUUUUUUUUCUCUCCUCUUUUUUUUAUUUCCCAUUGCACUCUCUUUCUAUCUUCUCUUCUCUUGGUUUUUUAAUCCAUCACUUUGGUUUGAUUUUUUUUCUCAAUCACAAAAAAUUCUUUACUCUCUCAAGAUUUGAUAUGUUGUCAUAUUUUUAUAAUUUUUUGAAUUUUGUUUUCUACAGUUAAUUUUAGUUUUACCCCUCAUAAAUGAAUAUACAUGAAUUAGAUUAGUCGCCAAAAUGUAGAAAGAAGGAAGAACAUGGAAUCAACUUCUUUUUGAAGCCCUGCAACCACCUUUUAAAUUUAAAGGAAUUGUGAGCAGUUGCCUCCUUCGGGAAAAUUGCCAGCCCAUAAAAAAAAUUAUAAAAGUAAAACAAUAUACUAAAUCUUUUAUGCUUUCAAACAUUUAGCGAGAUGAAUUCAGAGAGAGAAAUGGCUCAUAAAAGAAUAAAACGGAGAAUGAGGGAUCAAAUAUUUUUAAUAUUUAUCUUAAAUAAAUUUUAUCAUCAAUUUAUCUUAAAUAAAUCGAAUAUUAAUUGAGUAUAAAUUAAGAAUAUUUUUUUAAGAGACUUGACUUGCUCCAUCUUUAUUAUAGGAUUGAUAAUCAUUAUUUGAUUUUUUUUCAAAAUUUGUGCGACUACUUAAAAGGAAAAUAAAGCAACAUAGUUAGUGGAGCAUGAAAACGAAUACCGUUGUCACAUAAAAUGCCACGAUUAUGCUGCUAAGUAAAAGUCAAAAUUGAUUUCCUCCCUCCUCCCUCCUAUAUUUGAAAACACACAUUUCAUUCUAACGUAGAUAUCUAAGAGAUUGAUUAAAAGUCCAUACCGUAUGUGUUGGAGGAGCACGAUUGCCACCAAUAAUGGAGUAGGUAUGGCCGUAUGGGCACGUUCGGUCAACGUCUUCUCUUCAGUUUUUAACAUAGCCAACGUACACAUGUAAAGAUCUGUAAAUAUCAACAGACAUUAAGUGAAUUAUUAUAUUUUAGGUUUUUGAAAAAUAAAUAUUUUUCCAACAAAAAUCUAAAAUAUAAGUGUAAAUUAUGAAAUGGGAUGGGUGUAAAAAUUUUGUUAAAAGAAAAUCUCAUUUGAUUGUUUAAUUGAAUUUUCAUUUAAAAUAAGAAAUGAACUAAUUUGUUAAUUAUUUAAGUAAUUUUAACUAAAAAUGGGGGUUUAUUAGGAAUUUUGAGGAAUGUCAAAAGUCUUAUGGUGGCGUUUGUUUUUCUAUCUGAAAUUUGGAUUUUUUGUAUUAGUCUAGAUUAUACAUAGUACUCUCUUAAUUCUAUACAAGAGAGUAAUAAGGAUAGAAAUAGUGUAAAAAAGAGUCCUUAUUACUAUUUCUAUCCAUUUAAAAGUGAUAAAUUAAAUGAGGGUAUGAAACCGUACCAGUGACAUAUAUACUAUAGAGUUCUCAUUGCACGACUCUAUAACUCUUCAAUAUUGAAAUGUUAAUCAGUUAAUUAUGUUCUGUCAAUAACAAUUCAAUCACGAGUAUUUCGUCAAAUUUACUUUAACACAACAGUCAUCGUGCAAUUUCAAAUUUGAGUCACCGAUUUUGUCACAGAUUUACCUUUUAUUAACCGACUUCCCUGGUAUUCUUUAACACAAACGUGGAUAAGGGUAGUCAUGAGGCACUGUUGUAGGUGGCCCUUGUCCUGGAGGCACAUUGUUAUUGUACUUAAAAGGAGGCGGAGGAGGAGUGCCCCAAGAAGGAGAAGACCCCGACGGCGGCUCGUAUGUCCGCGGAGGUAGCGGUGGCGGAGGCGGAGAUGACGUCGGCGAUGGUGGUGGGGGCGAAUGGUAAUAAGAUUGUGGGGGUGAGUGGUGAGUCGGUGGUGGUGCCACUGGUGUAUCAGACUCUUCUGGUGACGGUGGUGGCGGUGAACAAAUAACAGGACAGGUAGCACAGUCACUUAUACAUAACAAACCCGCUGCAGGACCUGCCGUUUGGUCCUCGGCUGCAACUCCUUUGAGCAUCAUCGUCAUCAUAACAAACCAUUCUCGCCGUCGAAAUGUAAGACUCGUGACGUGAUGAUGAUCCAUCUUGAUCAGUGUUGCAGUUGCAUAAGCUUGAAAAGAUUGAUCUGGCUUUUGAAUUUGUAAAAUGUGACUCAAAAGCUAGCAAUACUUAUCUCUUGUUACGUGACAAUAAAUAUAUGGAUGGAUGCGUGUGUAUGGAAUAAUUAAACUAAUACUAUAGAGCUCACUAAAGAGUAAAUUACUUUUCAUGUCGAAAUGACAGUAAAUUACUUUUCAUAUAUUACUUUUCACUAAAGAGUAAAUUACUAAAGAGUAAAUUAUUUAAAGUUAAUCCGUGUGUAUGGCAAAAUCUCAUGGUAAGCAUAAUUGGAAAUGGACUAAAUGGAUUAGAUUCAAAUUUAAUUCUAAAAUCUUGAUUAGACUAAGAAGAUAUAUUUCGUUCAUUUAUCAAAAUCUUCUCUUUUAUUUAAUAAUUCAAAAAUAUUUAUUUAUUUGCUAUUAGUCAAUUAAUUUAUUCUUAAGUACUUAUUUACUUAUAUGUGAAUUUAUGACAUCUUAUUUUAUUUUUAUUUUUAUUGAUAUUUUAUUUUAAAAUACUCAGUUAAUAGUAUAUAUAUAUUAACAAAAUUAUUAUCAAGAAGCAUGCUAUUCAUUGGUUGGUUAUGUUAUAAAAUAUUUUUAAAAUAAUUGAUGUAUGGUUAAUUUAAUAUUUAGGUAGCUUUAAUCAUUUAUCUUAUAGGCAAUAAUAUAUCUCAUAUAUAUAACAGUGUAAAAUUUAAAUAAUUUAAAUUUGUUUGUUAUAAUUAUAACUACCAAUUACUAAUUUAUUAUAUAUAUAUAUAUAUAUAUAUAUAUAUAUAUUAGUUAGUUGUAUUUUAAAAUUAAUUUUAAUUUUCCUCAUUAAAUAUCUACGAAUAACUUCAUUCAAAUUUAAUUUAACAGAGUCCAAUCCUCUCUUGUACAGAACUCAGAGAGUACUAUGUAUAAUCUAGACUAAUCCAAUCUAAUUUGAUUAGGAAUUUAUUUAAUGUGCCUUAAUGUUUACCACUUGAGACAACGACCGUACCAAUGACAUAUAUUAUAAUACUUAUAACAUCAUUGAGCAACAGUUGUGAUAAUAUCAGACUAAUUAGAGAACUCGCAACACAGAGUACACAACUUGGAACAUAAACACACAAACAAGAGUUCUUGUGAAUUCAACCCCCUUUUUGGAUCAAUUACACAAAAAUUUCCAUGAUGGCUAAAAAAAUAUAAAGAUGAGAUUAUGUGGAGUAAACAUCUAUAGGUGAGUUUUGGGUUAGGUAUGAAAAAUAAAUUAUAAAGUAGGGAUAUUUUUUACAUUAACUUAAUUUAGAUUUCUCCAUUCAUUAAAAAGUUAAAAAUUUGACUUAUUUUAUUAAGUCAAAAUUAUCUAAAAAAUCUCAUUAAGUUAUAAAAACAAACACCUAAAAUUAAUUUAAUUAAUUAAGUUAAGUUACUUUAAGUCAUUAAGUUAAAAAACAAACUGCCACCUUAAUUUUUUUUUUCUUUUUGGGAAGGAAAUUUCUGUUGAACAUGUGAAAAGUGAAAACAAUGGGAGACACAAUUGUACUUUUUUAGACAAAAUCUCAUGGUAAGCCACACACCCGUAGUAAAAUACUAUGUAAUGAAAAAAAAAAUGAUUUUAAACACUUUAUAUAAGUUGCAAACUGGAAUCAGAUAUUGGAAUUUAUAUUUCAGGAUUUCGAUUCAACGACUCUCUAUAACUCUUCAAUAUUGAAAUGUUUAUCGGUUAAUUAUGUUAUGUCAAUACCAAUUCAAUCACAAGUAUGGCGACAUGAAAAGUAAUAAAACAACCACAAUUGACAAUUAAUAUUUGCUUUCAAUACUAUUUCUGAGGGAACCAUUAUUUUGCUUGAUGAAGGAGAUGAAUUUAUUGGUCAACUCCAAAGCAUUUGUACAUGUAGGGUUUCUCAAAUAAAAGACAUGCUUCUCAUCGAGAUGCUCAACGAGCUCCACUCUCCCUUUCCAUCCACUUUUCUUUAACUCCUCGUAGUAAUUUUUCCCAGCGGGACACAAGUAGUCUCUCUCAGCCACAAAUAUCAAAACCCUCUCACCCCCAAGCCUAGCCAGAUCCUCUGCGGGCGGUUUCAUCCUAGGAUCCUGCGGCCCAUCAUUACUUGCGCACAUGUACAACCACAUCUCAUCGUCCUCCGUACCGCCAAAAAAUGGGUGUACCAUCGUCACCCCAACCAAGUUCACACCGGGUAGCCCGAUUGAUCCGACCCGGAGCGCCAGAGUGUGUGCGAUGUUCCCUCCUGCACUGUCCCCACCAAUGAAAACUCUCCCAAGAUCAGCAUGAUGAUUCAACCAUGGGUCAGGUCCGUUUCCGCUAACAUGGGACGCCACCCACUUGAGUGCAGCCCACGAGUCUUCGUAACAAGCGGGUAUGGGUCGAUCCGGGAAGAGUCCGUACUCCA
rnacentral:lncRNA from 1 species